rnacentral:lncRNA from 1 species
CCCCAUCAGCUUCUCACCACCUGAUAUCUUAGUCUAUGUGACUUAGAUCAUCAGUAAAGCUCGGAGAUCUCUGUUACCACAUAGGCAUCAAUACUUAAUACACAACAAACAUCAGUCCAUACAUUAUCCCAAAUGUAUGAAUUCAAUUCCAUACCAUUCUGUCAUACAAUAUCAUUCAAUAAUUGAUCCACAAUAUUCAAAAGUCUAAUUAACAUAAAAAAAACAACACUUAAAUAUUAAACCAUCAAAAUAUAAUAUUUUUACAAAUUUAAAUAAUCUAUAAACAAACAACCCAAUAUAUAAACACACAACAUCCCAGCAAGAAAAUUGAAUAUUGGGACCACGUCCCUUCCGCAUUCAGAUCUUCUAUCCUAGGGUGCUAUUAAAAAUUAAAUUUAGCUUCCCUUACCUCGAUUGCUUGCUUUCCAAGCAACUUUUAGAAUUUUAUUUCCCACAGUCUGGAUAAGCUUCAAGAUUUACGGGCCUAAUGCAAGUUAUCCAAACAGAACAAAAAUUCAGUAUAGAGUAGAAUAAGUUGAGAGUAUUAAACUUCUCAACUGACCCCUCCAAUAUUGAUGACUAAAUUCUAAGAAAAAACAGAGAACAAAGGAUAUUUAGAGUAAAAAUGAACUUACUCUGUUUAAAAAUCUAAUCGGGUAAAAAUGUUCAUUAACUCCUCAGCUACAGCGUGGUAUGAUCGGAUUCUAAAAUAGAUACAGAUUUCGUCCUCGGCACGGGGAAGGGGUCUGCAGCUUUUGAAAAAAAGCGUUGUUACAUUAUCUCCAACUACAAAAAAAUUUCGUCCUCGAAAGAGAUUAGGGUAUGAUGCUCACAUCUCCUCUUCAAUUUCCCAAGUGGAAUCUCCAGAGAUGAGAUCCCACAAUACUUUCACCAUGGGAAUACUCCGUCCACGAAGUUGUUUCACUUGUGAAUCUAAAAUUCUGAUUGGCUUCACUUCAAAUGACAGAUUUUCUUUCACCUAGAUGGAAUCAGACUCUAGAAUGUGGCUAGGAUCGGGUACAUACUUUCUAAGCUAUAGCGUGGUAUGAUCAGAUUCUAAAAUAGAUGAAGAUUGGGAGAGAAAAUUAGGAGAGAGGGAGAGAAGAGAAUAUGGAGAGAGAGAAAGAAGAAAAUGGCUCGGAGAAGGGUCUGCAGCUUUUGAAAAAAAAGCGUUGUUACAUAUUUUGUUCAAACAAGUUUUUGUUAUGCCAUAAAACCAAGUUCUUAUGGAGCUAAACAAUAUUAUAAAAUAAAACACACUCAUAACAAUAUAAGUCAUCCAUCUUGAAUUAAAUAUUCGAAUUUAACAAAUAAAAAAUACGUUAAAAGCAUCAGUUAAAUACUUUAAUGGAAAUUAAUCAUCCAUAGAAUUGAUAAAUAUUUUUAUUAAUAAAAUAAUUUCAAAAAAUAUUAUACAAUUCAUUUUCUUAAAUUAUAAUUGGAAAGUUUCUUAUUUUAUUAAAUUUAAAAAAAUUUAAGUAAACUUCAAAUUUAAAUAAAAAUAUUCAGAAGAUAAGGAAAAAAAAUUAAUUUAAAAUUAAAAGCCAUCUGAAUAGGAUUAAAUAAAUCUGAAUAGUAUUAAAUAAGAAGAAAUUCUAUUAUAUAUUAAUAUUUUUGUAUUAAUUUUAUAAAUUUUAGAAAAUAAAAAAAUGAGAAAUGUAACUUUAGAGUAAUAUUCUUUAGUUUUGUUUAUUGCAUGUUUUCAUACUCAUUAAUGGAAAGAAGGAGAAGUUAUAAACCAAAUCUUAUUUAUCAAUUUAAAUUUUGUCUAACUAUGUAUUACAAGACAAUACUCUGCAAAAAUUCCAAAAAGUAUUAAAAUACAAUUUAAUCAUCAUUGUUUUGAUUUAUUAUUUACACAAUCUUCUCACUCAAAACGGAAUUGGGAUGGAUAGAAUUUGACAUAAGAAAUGCAAAAAUCCAACCCCACCUAAUAUUUUUUUAGUGGACUUAGUAAUGAGUUUAUCCAAACCUACAACACCACUAAAGAUCGAUAAAUUGAUAUAUAGAUAGAUUGAUAAAUGAAUCAAUAAAUAUAUGAAAAGAUAGAUAAAUAAAUGGAUAGACACAUAUAUAAAUGGAUGAAUACUAGGAAGAUAAAGAAAAAAAUCGAUAUAUAAAUAAUUAAAUAAAUAGAUAAACAUUUUUCUUAAGUCUCUUCCUACAUUAAUAAGUAUUCGUAAAAUAUGAAUAUGGUUGAAUAAAAUUCUUUGCACAUACUUAUUGGGAAAGUAAUAAUAAAGGAAGUAAAUUUUCAAAAAUCUAAAAUGAACUUAUAUACAGAUUAAAAAUUGAUUUAAAAAAAUCUUGAGAAGUUUACUCAAAUUAGUUUUCACAAAUUAAUUUAUACAUUUUUUUUUCUUACAAGUCUUUAUAGAUAAGUUAUUUAAAUAAGUUGUAAGAAAAUCACUAUAGAAUUGGACAGAAGCAGAAUUAAUAGAAAUAAAACAAAAGAAAUAAAGUAAAUUUUACGUAAAUGAAAAUAAUUUUUUAUAUAACUUAAUUUGAAAAACUACUUUAAAAUUAUAUGAAUUAAAUUAUAUAUAAAUUAGUUUUAAUUCAUAAGAAAUAGUUUUAUUUAUGUUCUUCUUAUAGAAACACCUAUACAAAAUCAUCCAAACAGCUAAAAAUGGUUUGAGAACAGAAAUUAAUUUUAUAAUUGGUUUAACAUAUGAAGACAAGACCAAGCAACGUUUUUCACUUUUCUUUUUCUCUUCUAUUCUCCUCUAUGUUAAUUGAGUACACGUAAGGGUUGAUACUGAUACUAAUGAUUUUUUAAGCUUAUAUUAUUGUGGUUAUAAUUUCUGUUCUGUGGUUAACAACUUUUAGAAAAGAAACUUUAUAAGGAUACUUUGAGACGAAUUUCUUAAGACCAGAAUUAAGAAAAGUUUAAAGCUCAAUAAUUAAAGUAUGAGAUAGCAUACCACUAUUCCAUUAUUCAACUAAUCCCUUCACUAUUAUUGGAAAGUAACAAAUGGGGUUAUAUUCACUGUCAAUAUCAAUUUUAGUUGUAUAUUAUUUUUUAACAACUAAUCAAAUUUGAACUUAAAUGCUAGUGAAUCGUUUACAAUUAUAUAUAUACAUAUAUAUAUAUAAAGAUUCAUAUUAAAAUAAUAUUUUUAUUAUCAUGAUUAAAUUACAUGUGUAUUUGGUGAGUAUGAAAAUAUAACUCAAUCCUAUAAAAUCAUUUAUAGAUUAACAUAAUAACUUAUGUAUUAUGAAGUAUUUUUGUUUAGUUGACGUGGAAUCUCCAACAAAUAAUUAUAGAUGAAUUGGUAUGAAUUUUUUUUCUGGUUUAACCAGAUUUGAAUUAAAAUUCUAGACAUGUAAUUGGGUUAAAUAGUAGGAAGUGGUAGGAUAAAUUCUUUGUUUGGUGCUCAUAGUGGUUUUAGCUAGCUCAAACAAGGUUGAUUUUAAUGAUAGAUAUUGGUGGUAUAUUUGAAAAAUGGGAGUAAACCUAACUAGUAAAUAAUAAAUUAAAUACAAUAAUAACAUCAACCACCUCACAAAUCGACAAAAUCAAAAUAGUUAACUAUGGUAGGUCAAGUAAAAAUUGCCCACAUUUCUCUAGAUUCAAGUCAUAUUUAAGAGUUUUUACAUGUUUUUACUAAAAUUAAAGAUAUGAUUUAAGCUCUAGAAAUUAAUAUUCAUGUUAAGAUAUUUAAAGGUUGUAUCACCAAUUAUAAAUAGCCAUUAACGGAUACUUAAAAGUCAUAGUUUAAAGCUUUGAUGGAACGUUGGACGAUGAUGGUUGAAAUUAAAAUUUGUCUUUCAUGGAUUUUGGAUUUAAGGUUGAGAUAACAUUUUAUCUGACUUGAUUCAUUUAGAUACUCUUUACGAUAAUGAUUUUAAUGAUAACUAUAAUUUAUGGAUACUAAGGAUUCAAAUGGAAAUCGUCGUGUAAUAUCCUAACGUUUGAGUUGUGUAAUAUUUUAACUAUUAUAUAAAUAUUUAUUAUUUAGUUAAANNNNNNNNNNNNNNNNNNNNNNNNNNNNNNNNNNNNNNNNNNNNNNNNNNNNNNNNNNNNNNNNNNNNNNNNNNNNNNNNNNNNNNNNNNNNNNNNNNNNAUUUUUUAUAUUAUAUUAUAUAUAUAUAUAUAUAUAUAUUAUAUCUUUAUAAUUAUACUAGGUAGAAAACAUAUAAGUUAUCUACAAUAAUAAAAGUUUUAUAUCAAAAUAUAAGAAUAUUCAUAUAUUUAAUAACUUCUAUGUAUAUCAAAACUAAGUUGUCUAUGUCAACAUCUUAAAAAAAAUUAUUUUUUCUAAAAAACUCUUACUGGACAGGUUAUUUAUCAACUUGUACCACAUGUUGAACUUGUACAACAUAUACAACGAAAAACACAAAAAGGAUGGAUAGAUUUGUAAAUCUUAGUAAAGUUAACCUACAAUACAAAUAAUGGGGUCUAAGAUUUGACGACUCAAUCUAACUUUAUCAAACAUAUGGAUACAUAUCUCACUUCUAAUGUUCCACUAUGAAUAUAAAAAAGUUAUUUGGAUAGUGAUUUGGUAGUUGAAUUUAUUAUUAAAAAUAUUAGUACAAUCAUAAUUAUUUUUCUCGAGAAUAUAAAUCAUUUUAGCUACUAACUUUAGAACCACUAGUACAAAAUAUAAAAAUAAUGAUAUUUUAUUUAAUCUGUUUUUACGAUUAGAUGUUGUCAUUCCAAACGUGAUGACAUUUUUUAAAUUAACUUCAUUUAAGAAUGCGGCUAUAACAAAUAGUCGCAUUCUUAAAACAGAGCGCUUUGUUUAAGAAUGAGGUUUUACCUCUUAGUCGCAUUCUUAAAACAUUUUUUUUACCCUAAGACAAAGCGCGUCACUUACGCUUUCAUAGUUCCUUCUCUGGCGCUUUCGUUCUCUUCAGCUCUUUUGCUCUGGUGCUUCCUCUCGUCUUCCUCAAGCCUGCAUUUGUCUUCUUCAUGACAUUAGUAAGUUCGUUUCAACCUCUCUACUUCUUCUUCACCAUUAGUUUUUGUAUUUUUUUCGUUUCUCUUAUGUAUUUCUUUUCUGUCAUCGUUCAUUGCCUCGUUGGUGUUUGGGUGUUUAAAAAUGACGAAAGCGAGGAAGCUAAAAAACCAAUGGCAAUAGAAGAAGACAAAGGCAGAGAAACUCGUUCGAAACUCUCACCUCUCGUCUCGUCUAACUACCUUUCGAGAUCUGAAAACGCAUUUUGUUGUUUAUAUGAGAGACAGAGAGAGAUAGUUCGCGAAAGAGAAAUUCGGAAAGGAAAAAAAUGAAGUGUGAGAGCAAGAGUAAGUGGGUGAAACUUAGUUGCGUUCAAUUUGAAUAUCUGAGAUGAGAAAGGAGUGAUGAGCAAAGAAUGUAAGAAGAAAGACAAAGUGGUGUGUGUGUACACUGCAAUGUGGCUAUUAUAAAUGCGGCUAUUUACCAUAGUCGUCCUUAUAACUUUGCAUUUAAGAAUGAGGCUAAAUAGUCGCCUUCUUCUCUGUUGGACAUAAGACUACGUGUACAUCAAAUGCGGUUAGAAAACUUUUGUUUUAAAGUGAAAAUAGCCCCCCUCUUUUAACCUUUUUGCACCAGUGAAUAUAAAUAAUUGGUAGUUAAAACCUUGAUAACUAAUUAGAUACACAUUUAAAAAUUAUUUAUUAAUGAUAGAAAUUACCCAAUAAUAUUUUAGUCUCUAAAAUAAUAUCUAAUUUAGUCAAUAUAGUGUAAUUAUUUUUUAUCUCUAAAAUUGGUUUUUAUUUAAUGAUUUUUUUUAAAUAUAAGUGUCACUAUUAUAUAAUGUAAUGACUGAAAAACAUUGUGCAAACAAAAAUUUGGAAGGGACCAGAAUCAACAAAAAUAUAACAUUAAAAAUGCUAUGUUUAUAAUACAAGAUGUUAUAUAAAAAUGUGAUGGUUAUAAAAGUGUUAUGAGAUGCUUUGAAGUUGUUUGAGUCUCAGGGUUAAUUAAUUAUGGAUAGUGAUACUUUGACCCUACAAACAGCCAAAAACAUCUAUUCUAUAUACCAAUAAAUUAUUAUUUUAAUUAUAUUUAUUUUAUUUUUUAAUUUAAAAUAUUAUUAUAAUUGGGUGUUUUAAGAUAUGUUAUUUACUAUUUGAGUGCUAACAAAAACUUUUCCUUAUUCUAUUUUUAAGAUACCUAAUGGAGUGACUUGAAAGUUGAGAAGAUUAAAAAGUAAGUUCUAGUAGGAAGAGAGAGAGAGAAAAUCAAUAAAGAAAACACAUAUUGGAUUAAAUGGGAUAAUAUACAUUAUCCGAAGAACCAUAGAAAAUUAGGCAUGAAAAACAUUCCUACAUUGAAUGCUACAGUUUUAGCAAAAUGGAGUUGGAAUUUACAAAAAAAGAAAACUCUUCAUUGUGGAGCAAAGGUAUGAUGUCCGAAUGUGGAAGGGAGAAUCGUGGGAGUGAACACACAAAUAAAUCAACAUAUAGUAAUAUACAUAUGUAGUCAAAUGUGGUUGUGUAAUGGAAUAUUUGUACAAGGUGUGUAAUGAAUUAGGAUCCUAAAAAAAAGGUUAUGCUUUUUACUGAAAAUGGUCAAAGAUAGAGUCAAUUAGAAGAAGAAAUGUGUUACUUCACAAUAAUGAGUUGAGUAUCCCAUUGAUAUUUAAACUCACACCCGCAAUAACCUAAAUUAAAAAAAAAAAAAAGUUUACUCCUAUAACCGACAUCUUAAACGAACUUCAAAUUUUAAUAGGUUGCACCUGCAUGUUAUACGAGCUUACCUGCAUCUAUACAAAUAUAAUUAAAAAUAGUUUUAAUAUUACUCAAACACAUUUUAAGUGUUCCUUAAAUUACUUUAAUUCAUCCUAAAAACAAAUGAGAGCUAGUAAGAAAAUUAAACAAAAUCUUGAGUUUAAACAGAAAUGAGCAGAAGUUUUUAGUGUUAGAAUGGAAAUAGAACAUGUUAGAGAAUGAGUUAGAUCUUCAAAUUGAAGAUGAACCCAAAAAUCUCUUUCGAAAGGUGAAGGUGAUAACGAUGUGAAUCGGAAUUGAAUAAAGAACUUUGUUGAACUUUCCAUUACUGAAUUUCUUAUAUUGCAGGUUAUAUUGGUAGUUUGGCAGCCUAAUACGCAACACUACUUGCAAGCAUUGUUAAUUGUGUUGCAUAGAGUGCUUAAUGGCGGUGAUGAUUACUGUUGCGUUGAGUAAGACUCCAUUUAUUGUUUCAAAACCAGGGCACCAUAGAAACAUACAAGUAGACAAUGUCAUUGUUUCUCAGCAGUUAGUGGGGUCACAAAUCCACUUAUAUAUAUUAUAUUUUGAUGAAUGAAAACAGAGUGGUGAAUGGAGUUCCAUGCAGGAGGUGGAGUAUCCAAACAGCUAUGCUAGUGCCUGCACAUAAUGAAAGCACAAAAAACAACUCGCCCACCAAUUACAUAGUGGACUCAAAUGCUUCCAUCAUCCCUUCACACCAACUCUUCUCUAUAAAUCUCAACACUAAUAACAAUAUAUCACCAAUUCAUCAUUAUCCCACAAAAUCUUUUUCCAAUGAAUGUCAAGUACUCUCUCCAUUUCCCUUCAAUAAUUCUUUCAUCAAAAUUUAAAACUUUUUUUAACUAUCUAUUAUAAAUAUAAUUUGAUUUUAUAAAAUUGAUUUAUAAGAUAAAUUUUGUACAUAUUUAUAUACUGUAAAAUAUUUUUAUCUAUAAUGGAUGUGAGAUUUUCAACACACUUCUUCGUAUCGAGAUUGUCAACUUGUCCGUAUAACUAUACAUUUGUAGUGAUCCAAUAAUAACUUGAAACUAACCCUAACUAUCGUUAAGAUAAACUCUACAAGAUUAUAAUAUCAUAUUAAGAAAAAAUUAUUUUAAACCUCACUUUUACCGGAUCGACAAAUCUAAAAGAAAAACUAUAAUUUGACAUCCAUCACAAAAAAUAAUUCACUUUUACAACUAUUUUAAUAAUAUAAUAAUAUAUAUUAAUAUUUUAAAUUAAAAUAUAAAACAAAUUAAAAUAAAAUAUUUAUACUUUGAGUUGUACAGUAAAUGUAUUUUAUUUUAUGAGUGAGAUAAAGUAUCAGUCCUCCCUUAUCUGAUGCAUUUUGUCUUCGCUUCAUAUCGCUCUUUUUAGUGUAUAACUCUUUGUAUGCAAACACAAUUUCUCAAUUAUAAAUCAUCUAACUGACCCCACUCUUUGUCCAAUAACGUGUUUAAAAAUAAUAUGUUCUUGAAUUGUCGAUUUUUUUUGUCGACCUAUCAUUUCUUUUUGUGUUAGAGAAACAAGACACACAAAAAUGUUCUUUAUAUAUGCAUAAUUCAAAAGCCGAUGACGUAAACCACUGAAGAAAAAAAAAAGAAAAAAUAUUAUUUGACACCUACUUUUUCAUUGCUCCAAAUUACAUCUUCCAUAUUAUAAAGGUUAUGUGAUGUGAAAAGGUAUCUUUAUCAAUUAAAAAGGUGUAAUUUGGAGUAAGAGUGUCAAAGUAUCAUUUGCUAAAAAAAAUUUAAUACAGAAUCAUGAACGAUUAAAGCUACUUUAAAGUCAGUAAGUAUUAAAUUAUUUAAAAGGUAAAUAAUUGAAACUAACCACAGAUUCUCCUUUCCUUUAAGCCUCUGAUUGGUAUUGGAUACUCAUUUUUUUUCUUUAUUUCUCUUUAAUAAAAAUAUUUUAAAUUUUACUUUAUUUUCUUAUCUAUUUUCACUCGUAUCACAGAAUUCUACAGAAGUCGAUUUGUUUUACGUUUGAACUCCGUUUACGAGCGUGAAAUAACGGAGUUCGUGUGUGUGCCUAGUGGACGCAACUGAUAUACUCAUAGCAGCAAUAAUUUUUUACAGCACCCUCUUAAGGGACGUGUCAUUUUUCAAUUGGAAGGGCAAUACAAAUAACCAUAUAAAUACGAGCCUCUUACGUUGUAUCAUUUCAUUCUCGUGGCUCAACAGAUUAGUUAUUAAGGUUGUUCCAGGAGCUCUACCAAGACAUGGAGAACCAGCAGAAGCAAAGUUGGUUCGAAAAAGCAAAGCCUUUGGCAGCAGUGGUAUCAAUACAGUUUGGAUAUGCACUCAUGGAUAUUAUAUCCAAAGCUGCAAUGAACAAAGGGAUGAGCAAUUAUGUGUUCGUCGUCUAUCGCCAUGCAGUUGCAUUCUUUGUCAUGGCCCCUUUGGCAUGGUUUUUUGAGAGGUAUAUAUAUAUAUACCUUUCUACCUCUAUGUGUGUUUGUUUUGUGUGUGAAUAAUUGAAGUAACACUGCAUCGUUUUAACAGGAAAGUAAAGCAAAAGAUGACACUGUCAAUUUUCAUGAAGAUAUUGGUGCUGAGCUUGCUAGAGUAACUAUUUUCCUUCGUUGCUAAACACAUUUAGCUCUUCUUUUUUAAUGGAAACAUGUGAUAGUAACUUCAAUUUUUUGGUUUGUGGCAGGCCAGUUAUUGACCAGAAUUUGUAUUUUUUGGGGAUGAAGUACACAACAGCAACCUUUGCCGUUACCAUGACCAAUAUGCUUCCUGCUAUUACCUUUGUCUUCGCUUGCAUUCUUAGGUAUAACUAACUGCAUUAGUUCAUUCUCUCUACUAAUGGGAAAAAGAGAAACUAGCUUUCAAAUAUGGUCGAAAACCAAUCAGAUAAAGUGUUGCCGUGUUGGUUUUGCUUGCUUGCCAACCUGCUCAAUCAUAGAGAUUCUAAGCUAAUAAAAUUACCACUUUUGUAAGAGUUUAGACAUGCAUUUUUUAGUUUAAUUCAAGAUUAGUUUUAAGAUGAUUGUUAUAAAGACUAAUGAACUUAACUUGUGCACCUGACAGUCUGUGAUUUGGAUAGUGUAAAACUCUUUUGCUCCUAUUAUUCAUUCAUUCUUUUUUUAGCUUAACACAUCAUUUCUGUGUGUAUACGCUAUGAUAAAGUUAAGCAAUUUCCGUUGUUCUGAUCAGGCUUGAGAAGAUAAAUAUAAGAAGUAUACGCAGCCAAGCGAAGGUGGUAGGAACUGUAGCAACUGUUUCGGGUGCCAUGAUCAUGACACUGAUUAAAGGUCCAGUGCUUUUUGGGUCACACGUAAGCAAUGCUCACAGCCAGAAUAAUGGGACUAGUACUCAACAUUCAAUGACAGGGUUCGUAAUGAUCACUAUUGGAUGCUUUUGUUGGGCUUCUUUCAUGAUCUUACAGGUAAAAAAAACAUAACAAUUUGAUUCACAAUCAUGUAUGUAAGUUGGUGUAUACAUGUAUUUAAUUGACACAACUUGAUCUGUCUGUGUAGGCUAUUACGCUAAAAACCUACCCUGCUGCACUUUCUCUUUCGGCAUGGAUAUGCUUAAUGGGCACAAUUGAAGGUGCUGCAGUGGCUUUAGUCAUGGAAAGGGGCCACCCUUCAGUUUGGUCUCUAAAAUUUGAUAUGAGAUUGCUCUGUGCUGUUUACGCUGUAAGCCCUUUCAACCUAACAAUUCUAAAUAUGACAAAAAAAAAGCACGUUAAAUGCAACAUGCAUUGCAUGGAAUAUAAUAUAAAUACUAUAAUGAGGAAAAUGACGUUACCAAGUGGCAACUUUAUUCCUACAUUUGUUGGGGUUCGCAAAAUCCACUUUCUAAUAUAAUGUUUUCCUCAGCACCCUUGUGAAAUGAAUAGAAAAUUCAAAAAUAAAAAGUAUACAAAAAAAAUGAGAUAAAUAACUUAAUGGGAAAAAAACAAAGGAAAUGAGAGAAGGAAUGAAAAAUAUGAGAAAGUUGACAGUAAAAAGUAUGUUUAGUAGAGGGUGAUAUUCUAUCCGAAAAAGAGAACCCACUAUAGUAAUAUAAUAUGUAUUAAUAUUUUUUAAGUUAAAAAAUAAAAGAAUUAAUAUUUUAAACGAAUUGCUUUUGGGUGUUAAACAUCACUAUCCAGUAUAUAUACCCGCUUUUAUUUUUCUUAUUAUUAAUAAUAUACUAAUAUGUAUUAGUAUUUUAAAUUAAAAAAAAUAAAAAUAAAAAUAAUGAAAACAUUAAUAUUUAUUUUAUCAAUAUAAUACUAUGUAUUAGUAUUUUAAAUUAAAAUACUAAUAUUUUAAAUUAUGGAAUAAAUGAUUAUUUUUGGGGGUAUUAAAUCAUCACUAUCGAGUAUAUAUUUACUCGCUUUUGUAUUUUUUCUUUGAAAAUUGAGAUGAUCUCUUAAAAUAUUCCUAAGAUAAGCUUAACCAAAGAUGCACUAGUUAAGGUAAUAAACAUAGGAAUUAAAUCAUGUUACUAAUAUAAGACUAUAAUCUCAACUUUUAUUAUGUAAGGUAUUUUUCUACUUUCCUCUCAUGCCUCUUUAAUUAAUAAAGUGACACAUUAUAGCAAUUAAAAUUGAUAAGAGAAAAACUUUCAGUUGUUUAAACGUCACGUUUUAAUCAAAGUGGAGCUGUCACCUUCAAAUGGAAGUAUAAACUUUGUGUGUGGUUCAUUUCCUUCUAUAGAGCUAUGUUGUCAAGCUACUACUAAUAUUAAGCUAAAAAAAAGAUACAAUUCCUUACGCCUUUAAGAUAUUAUUCUCUAAUUAAAAUGAGAUUUUCUUCCCAAAAUAAAUUCGAUUUUUUCAAUAAUCAGUUAAAUAAAGGUUAGAAUUUAAUGUAACAUUACUUUUCAAGGUGAAAGAUCAACUCUAAUUGGAAAAUAAUACUAAAAAUGUUAAAUCUAUUUUGUUCCUAUUAGGAAAAGUUUUAUCAUAAAUAUCCAUAAUAUUCUCCUAUGUAUUUUUUUUAAUACAUAUUUAUUUAUUUAAUUUAGUAUGAGAAUGACAAAAUAGGGAAUCAGACCAAAAUCAUUGAUUCUUCCUUUCUUAUGGUUUUAGAAGGUAAAAAGAAGAGGACAUAAAAUAUUUGAGAGUCAAUAUAUAAUGUAAAUUCUAAUAGAUUAAAACAUUGAUAUGCAGGGCAUAACCUGCUCUGGAGUGGGUUAUUACUUGCAAGGAGUGGUGAUGAAAAGUAGAGGCCCAGUCUUCGUAACAGCCUUUAGUCCACUCUGCAUGAUAAUCGUGGCUAUCAUGGGCUUCUUCAUUUUGGCUGAGCAAGUUUUCCUUGGAAGGUAAUCAUGAAAAUGAAGUACCUGUGAAUCUAUGAUAUUUUUUAGUACCUAUGAUAUCACAUUAACCAGAACCUUACUGAAAUCUGAUAAAUGUUGCAGAAUGAUCGGUGCCAUUAUCAUUUGUUUGGGCCUAUACUCUGUGGUGUGGGGAAAAAGUAAAGACUAUAGCCCAUCAGACCCAAAUACUGAAGAGCCCAUAGUGGACAUGGACAAUGCUAAGGAAAAUUACACUUGCUGCACUCACGGAGUCACCACUGCCACCAAUUUAGGAAAUGGAAACACAACUCCAAGUGAAGAACAAGUGUGAGGAAAAGUUGCCAUUUAUUUCAAAACUUCAACUAUUUUAGGACAUGUCUGCAUGAGCAAAAGCAGCUAUGUUUGUUCCUAGUUGUUUAAUCUUCCACGAAAUACAAGAACACAGAUUUUAACGUGGUAGAUAAGAAGCACAUAGUAGUGAGAAAUACAUUAUGGUUUUGCAUAUUAUAUGUCACAAUGUAAGAAUAAGCCCCUUCAGAUUUCACAUCAUACAGUAUUUCUACAUUCAUUCAGAAAAAGAAAAUGGUAAUGACUCGCUAAGAAGAUGCCGACUCUGGAGUAAAUCCACUGGAUAAAAAUGAAUGAGCAAAUCACAGAAUAUUUUGUUGUAUUAAUAAUGAACUCGACAACAUAAUCAAUUUACCUUCAUGAAAUUUAUCGACUAUAAGCUACCAUGAAUGAUCCAAUUUGCAAUACAUAUUUCAUUUUGUCUGGUAAAUUCCCUACGAUUUUCUCAAAUGGGUAAAGGAUUCAAAACCUAUGCAUAUCGGUCAGCAAAAGGUGUAUCAAAAGAUGGCUCCUAUGAAACCAACAAAGACUGUCCUAUCUUGUAACUCAAAAUUUCUCCUUUAUUACAAUUGCUUUACUUGUUUUGCACAUAUGUGCUGGAGUUCCCUGCUGCAGCCAAAAAAGAUUCUGUAAAGGAGGAAGGAAAAUCAAACGUGAGAAGGAGCAUCUCGGAUCAAUACAAAGAUAUUAGACAAAUCCAGAAAACACAGCGUAAAGGAACAUGAUAAAUUACCUUUCCAGAUGCAGAAGGAUUUCUGAUUGAUAGGUGAACCAGUUACAGUCUGAAUAACUUCAAACAGCAUGCUCUGUGGAGUGCUCCUCAGCUCUUGUACAACCCCAUAAAUAGUUUUCCCAUUAUCAAAGUAAAUGUGAUUAUUGGGGUGUUUUGUCUUGCAACCAGCAUGUCGCUCAAAUUCAUAUGCAUUAAUAACCUGGAAGAAAUUUAAUAUUAGUCAGAGAUAGCAUUUUGGCUCAAAAAGGAUUCUAGUACUCUGUGAUAAGGAUCAACCAAACUUUACCUUUGAAAAAUUACACGAGUGACAACUGCACAAAUACCCAGCACCUUUUAUAACACCUCGAAGUUCCUUCUAACAAGCAUAGGAAGAACCACACAUGUGAUGAAAGAUAAGCUACUGUGAAAGAUUAACUCAUUAAUACUAAAUUUUACCUCCCGUGACCACGCUUUAUACUUUACUGAGAGACCAUCCAGCAUACCGGUGGAUAGCAAACUUCUGACAUUUGAAGGGAAGUUGUUUGAAAUAGCCUUUUUAGACAUUUUUAUCUCCUCUUUUGUCUUGAGAAUAUUUUCAGUUCCAGGUGCAGAUGUCUGUGUUGUACUUGGAAGUAAAUUAGAACUAGAUGUAACCAUCUCCUUCUCUUUCACAGCUUCUGACUUGUGUGAAAGUGCUUGACACAUCAACAGUUCAUACUCAGAAAUGAACAAGUCUGAGGGUGUUGUGUCAUCAUCACGGCUACCAAAACAUAUGAUAGUGCUCUCUCCAUUAUCAUAGGAUCGUGGAACAAAUGGCACAUCAUUUCCCUCCUUGUGGUAGGUGUAAUGAGAUGAUAUAGUGCCAUUGUCAACCUUAUUGUACAACUGGUUGGUUAACAUAGAAUUGCCAUGGGCCUUAUUGUAAGCUUGAGCAAUAGAUAUGACAUUGCUAUCCACCUUACUGAAGCCCUCAUCCAUUGAUACCGUAUUACAAAUCUCAUUGAAUGUUGGAUGUACAGAUAAGCUGUCAUUUCCCUUGUUAUAGGAUUGACCCAUUGACAUGAAAUUGUUAUCUGUACUGUCAUACGAACCAUUCAUUGCUAUUAUAUUGGCUCCCCCUUUGUUAUAGUUGAGAUUUGCUGACAUGGAAUUAUCACCCGCCUUGUAUAGACAAGGAUUUGACAAAGUGUCACUAACUCCUCUAUCAUAGGGAUUUUUUGUAGUAACAGACAUGACAUUCUCGGAUCCCUUCACCUCGUUUACUCUGACUUUUCUAAUUCCAUCAUAAUUAAAAACUAAACGAGGAUCUUCUAAUGCAGUUGAUAUGGAUAAACCAAACGAGGACCCACUCCCAAAGGGGUCCAUAUUAUCCUUUCUUUCCACACUCAACUUAUCAUCCAUGCUAACAGAGGGAGUAUUUGCAUCUUCAAAAGUCAUAUUUGCAGCAUCUGGGCCAAAAAUUUGUUCAGUAAAAUGACCAUUUAAAGAGUGAAAUCCUGAGGAAUUCCCCCAGGAAGGAACAUUCGAGUUGAGAAUUCCAGAUAACAAAUUGUUUGGAGCAUCUACUGCUUGUUUCUUAUUGGGAAGCAGAUCCAAAUCAGGGUCAUCCAUGAACCAUGAACAAGCACGCUUGGAAUCAAUUCUAGAAGAAUUGUCAUUUGUCAUGUCACCAUCAUUCAAACAUCCAGGGCUCUUCCCCAUCCAAAAUGCUUGAUUGUGGAACGACUGUCACACAAAAAAAUCAUUAGAAAGAGGCUCCUUCCUACCAAAGAAUUUCAAUGUAAAAAACCUUGCCACUAAAUCGAACUAUAGAUACAACAAACUUUAGCAUGCAUCUGGUCACCAACAAGGAAAAUGAUUUAUAAAUACAAGUGCCAUUAAGAACCAUGAAAAGGCAAAAAUACUGCCUCGCCUCCUCUUAAACCUCUACAUCACAUCACAUUUUCUAAAGACACCUUAAAUUAUGACUGCAGAAAAUGGAUCUGAACCAAAAAUGUAAGUACAAGAUAAAAAAAAAAAAAGCUUUGCACAUGAAAACACUCUCAUCUAGCUCUAGAUUAACACACAAUGAAUAUGCAUGCAAAUACGAUUAUUUCAAUUAAAUUUCCUAAUCGAGUCGCCAUAAAUUUAACCACAAAUUCCACCUAUAGUCAAUUGCCACCAACAAAGAAAAUAAAAAACAAAAAAUAAAAACAGCAAUUUUGACAAAGUUUUAGAUUAGCUUAAAACUGCUUCAUCCCCCCUCCCCCCCGGACCAGCUAUGUAAAUAUUUGAAACAAAGCACAACAUAAGUUGAAGAUAAAACAAAUGCAUGUAGAAAAAGGAUGCAGAAUCAGCAUAAUCAAUGUUUAGUGAAUCAUGCAACAAAAGGAUAUACUAAUUGUAACUGGAACAGAAUGGGAAAAUUCCAAAGCAAGACACAUUUUCCUUACUAGUAACACAAAGUUCCGAUUGUAAUUAAAAAUGGAGCACAAAAGCACAAGCAGCAGCAAACAAAUAUUCCAUGCAACGAAGCACAAGCGAAACAUACCAUUUCCCUCUUCACUGGUUACCAAUAGAUUGAAAAGCUAUGCUGGUGUUUCCAAUGAAGCUUGCCAAUCAAUAAUGAGAGCUGUUUAGUCAAGAAAUUUGCCUGCAACCGAGCACCCCCAAAAGCAACUUAAACUAAAAACCGUUGCUUUAGUCGAAAAUGGAACAUGCAAUGAUAAAAACGGCAUCUUUGGUGGGUGCAGAAGCUAAUAAAAGUUGGGUGAAGAAAAAAUAGGAAAACUCACAUGUCAGUGAAAGGAUGAAGCCGAAAAGAAGAAAAAGAAGAGCAUUUGCAUCGGUUUUGAUUUGAUUCUGGUAGCCUAGAGAGUGGAAAUGCGUUACUGUGAAUGAAGCAAUGAAGCUACGUUUGACAGAAAAGGGUUGUGAAUGAUGCGAAGCAGAGGCACACGGUAAGAUCGGUAAGGGGAAGUAGAAAGAUAUUGAAGAUUUUGUGCUUGUCGGAAAAGUUAAACCGUGGUGCUCCGCACGAUCGCAUCGUCACAUUAAAUCUUUGCCGUACACGUGGCGACAUCGAGUUCUGUGCGUCAGAGGUUCAUCAUACGCCGGCUGCUUCGCCUCCCCUUACCUUCUCAAUUCUUUCAAUUUUAUUUUUUAAAAAACUAAAAACAUUUAUUUCGUAUAUUUACUUUAUUCUAAUUAAAUAAAUUAUAAUAACACUUUAUAUUAGAGAUGUUUUCAUGCGUUAAAUAUAACAACUUAAUGUAUACUUGAAGUUUAAUUAAAAAUAUUCAUUUUAAGUAUUUAAAAUAUUUUUAAAUUUUUGUUUGAGUAUUAUAAUGUUUAAUUGUUACUUUCAUCUUUCAUCUUUUCAUUUUUAAUUGUGUCUAUCAAUUCAUUUGUUUUAUUUUUAAUUUUUUUAAAUUUUUUGAUCAACUUUUUUUUUCUCUUCCAAUUAUUUUCUUAAUGAAAAAAAAUAUUUUGGUAAAAAUAAAAAAUAUUUUAAACAAUUAUUAAAUAAAUUUUAUUAAUAAAAAAUAAUUGAAUAUAUCCAAAUUUGUAAGAUACAUAAAUUUAAUACAAAUAAAAAUAUAUAAUUUAUUUUUAAAUAAAAAUACAAAAACAUUUUUUUAUUUAAAAUUCUUCAUUUAUAUAUAUAAAAAAAUCAUAUUAAAAGAAAUAUUAUUGAAUCUUCAUUUAAUUAAAUAGAAUUUUAGAAGAAUAAAUUGUAUUACAAAUAUUUUUAUUUUAUAUUAUUAAACACAUAAUAAUAUUAACAUUUUCCUCACCCAAAAUUAUAACUAUAAAACAAGAAAAUAAUAAUAAAAUAUUCAUCAAAAUUCAGAAGGCAUCUAUUUGUUUGUUUGAAAGGUAUUUUACAUAGAAUUAAAUAUAGAAAAGUCUCUUUCACAUUCAAAAUUACAUUUGUAACCAAAAGGAGACAGUAUAAUAAAGAUAUUAUCAUAUUCCAAGUGUUUUAAAUGAUCAAAACUAUCCUUUUUGUGAAUACUUUUAAUUUCAAGUUUUUUGCUGUGCAUAAGUUUAGCCAUAAAUGUUUUUUUCUAAUAACUUUUUUCUACUUUAUAUAAUUUUCCAUGCAUACAUGUUUUCAUACCACCCUCAUUUCAUUAUACAUCAUCCAAAAUAAAAUAUUUUAUAAGAGAAUAGUGUGUAUAUUAACCUUUGGUAACACAUACUUUUUUAUAUAUAAUAAUAUAAAUUAGGAGUAAAGUUUUGAAUCAUAUAUUUAAGAGAUAAAUUUAUUUAUCACUUAUCAUUUAUUAUUUAUUAUCUAUACUACACAUGAUGUUUCGUAUAAAGAUUGUAGUACCUGACACAAAUUUUAUUACACUACAAACGUUAUCUAAGUUUUUUUAUUAUAUCAAAUGUUUUUUUUCAAAAGAGUACAAAAGUAUUACUACUUGAAUUUAACUCCUUAACAAUAUGAAGAAUAUAAAUAUAUUUAUCAUUCAAUACUUAGUAAUAUAAAAUAUCUUAGUCAUUAAUUAUAAUAUCUUUUUUUUAAUUUUAAUUAAUAUUGCAUUCAAAAUAUAUAUUAGUAAGAUUAAGGAAUUUAUUUUUUAACAAUAGAACGAAAUUAAAUAUUAAGUCAUCCAUAUAAUUAAGAAUAACCCUUUUAGUAUUGGUUAUAUAACAUACUUUAGUAGUUUAUUUUAACUCCCUUCAUAUAGAAAGAAUGUAUAUAUAUUUAUUUUGUAAGUAAUGAUUUUUUUUAAAUGGAGAUUAGAAUCGUACUACAUAUUAAGUAUAAAAAUAUAAAUUUUCAAUUAUUCAAUUUAUUUAUUUAAAAUUUAUGCAAUUAGAUAUUAACUUUUUAAUUGUAAAUAUUUUUUAUUUAUAUGUAAUAGUAAUUAAUAAAUUUAUUCAAAAUACAAUAUGUCAUUGAGUAUUAAUCACAAUGAGAUAUCAUGAGAUCAACAUUUCAAUGUAAAUAUUAAUUAAUAAAUUUAAUGUAAAUAUGAUAUACACAAUGGAUAAACAUUAUAUAUUUUUUGUUUUUAUUUGAUUUGAUGUAAUUCUCGUUUGGUUUAAUUCUCAUAUACAUGGUUUCACAUUAAUUAACGAUGAAUUCAACUGUAUUAAAAAUAUUGGUAGAUACUUAUUACAUCGUAUUAAUUUCAUAUUUAUUUUGUUCCAUCUGUUUUCAAUAUUAUGUUCUAGGAUUUAAAUAUCCUCUGAAUUCAAGGUUAUAACUGAUAUUAUAAUUUAUUGUAUUCUGACAUUUGUUUUUAUUGUUUCUUAAACUAUGUGCAAGUUAAAAGAUUCUAAAACAUCAUCUAUGUUGGUAGCUUUUAUAAAUAAUGUAAAUUUGAAUUUUAGUUUUAAAGGACUUAUAAACAAUUUUCAUUAUGAUUAUUUGAAAUAGAAUUUCAUGUAUAAAUUUGUUUCUAUGAUAAAAUAAAGCAUUUAUGCAACAAUGUUAAAUUUUCACAAAUGAUUUUUUUUAAUUGAUUAUGAACACAGUCUUAUAUAUUUAUAUAAAAAAAUUAUAUAAUAAAACUUAUCAACGGAUAAUUUUAGGAAAAAAAAACUUUUCCACCAACAAUAACUUUAGAUAAAAUAUUUAAAGAAAUAGAAUUUUAAUUGAACUAAAAAAGAAAUAGUUUUAAAUCUAUUUAUAAACUUUUUAGAAAACUUUUUCAUUAGUCAUUUACUUUAAAAUUAUAUCACUAUUAAUCAUAAAAUAAACAUUUAAGUCUAUUUAAAAAAAUUAAAAUAGUUUUUAAAAGUUACUCCCAUAGUCCCACUAAAAUUAAAAUUUAAAAUUAUUUUAAUAACUGCAAUCAAUAUCUUAUUCUUUAAAUUGAUUUUACUAAAACAAUCUUAUCUCUCAAUAAUUUGAUUAUUUGAACUUAAACAAAGAAAAUAACUAACUGUAUUGUUCGAUCGUAAGAAGAUGUCAAUCGUUUAGCGAUGGUUCUAAUAACAAAUAUUAACAUCUAAAAAUUUACUUAAAAUCUAUAUGUUGGCUCGAAAACCUAUUUUAACAUCGGUCUAGUGUAAAAUAUUCAACUGUAUUAAACUGUAUUUACAUUUAAAUAUGUCAAAUCGAAUAAUAACUUAAACAUCGAAUUACCUUAUACUAAAAAAACACAUAUUCAUGUCGGAACUCAACGGUGAUUCAAAGAGAUUAAGAACCUUUUCAACUAUUUUGUAAGCAGAUAAACUAAUUUAAUUUUUUUUAACCACGUACAUAUUAUUCAUUGGCAAGGAAAAUAAUUAAUACGGGAACUUUAAGCUUAAAUUUUGACUUUUUAUAAACAAUGUAUUAGUACAUACUAUUCCAUUCCUCGAAAUAAUAACUAACACCAUCUAAGACUUUUAAGCACAGUUUUGGACUUUUUUGAAUUAAAAAAAAAACUAAUUUAAGCUAUUUUUAUUUACAAAUCUUCUUUUCAAACUUCUUACUUCUAUUUUUUAUUAGUUUCUUUACAAAAGUUUUAGAAUACAGUAUUUAAAAUUUUAAAUUAAGAAAAAAUUAAAAAUCUAAAUUAAUAUUUUUCGUGUUUUAGUUUAAUUUAUAAUAGAUGGUAAACUCUAAGAUAAUUAAACCAAACAUUGAAGUUUAUUUUGGUAGAAACCAAUACAUUAAGCUAUUACAAAGUGGGAUCUCCAACAUAAGCCAAUACUUCUCAUUCAAACAAAACAAAAAAAUAAAUUAACACCUUACUUAAUAAUUUGUACUAUAGAAAUACUAUUUGUAAAAUAGUAUUUUUUUUUAAUUGUUCUCGUAAAAAAGGACUGAGAAAAAUUCUACCUAUUGAACUCUCUCACUCAGUUAGUACGUGGUCUCUUUCACAUGGUCUCUUUCACAGCUCAUGCUCAUUUACUCUAGUCAAUUUCUUCUUUUUUCCGUAGGUUCUCGAUUGGGAAGAUGUCUGCAAAAGAUGUUGCGACAGUCAAGUAAGUAUUUAGUUUUUUGUGUUCGGUGUAAUUAAUGCACAAUAAUAACAUACUUUUUUCUUAAAAAUUAUAAUGAUUUAUAUGUUUAUUAUGGACCCGUUGUUAUUGGUAGAGUAACAUAUUACCUAAUGUUUUCAUACGAUUUAAGAAUGUUAAUCUCUUUCUGAUUUUAAUAUAUUUUGAACAUGUCGACAAUACUGAAUAUCGAAACUUAUAGAUCCGUCAAAUUCUAACCAGAAACAAUAUCUCUACUUUGAUGUAAAACUUUUUAGAGGUUCUAAAAUAUAACUUCUCUAAACAAUGAUCAAAAAAAAUAUCAGAGUUAUUAUUUAUUUUGAAAUUGAAUUACUUUGUCUUUUGUCUUUUUGUUGUGUUAAAAAAUAUCUUAAUUAGUUAAGAAAUAAAGACGUAUAUAAUUGUAAAGUGGACCAAAGUCUACCUGCUACCAGAGUUUUCAACCAAACUAUUCACUUUUUUUAAUUAAAAAUAAAAAUAAAAAAUAAUUUAAAAAUAUUAAUUUUUGUAUGAUAUUUAAAUAUACAAAUAUGCAAUAAUAAUAUUGUAACUUAAAUUAUUAACAUUUAUAAAUUAAAUUAUUAGUUAUAAUAAAAUAAUUUAAUAGGUAAAGAUAAUAAAAUUUAUAUAAUUAAAAACAUUAAUUAAUUGAUUAAAUUCAUAAAAUAUUUAUAUGAUUAAAUAUGUUUUAUUUUAAAUUAAUAAAAAAUAAACUUUUUGAUUUACUUGUCAAUAAAUUUUGAGUUCACUUAAUCACGAUGGGUGAAUCGUUUUAUCUCGUUUAUGACGGAUAAAAAAAUUGAAAUAACACAAAAUAAGUUAACAUGUGUAAAAAUAAAAAUGUGUUUUCAUUCUCCUAUAUGGAAAUCUGAUUUUGUUUCAACACGUGAAAGUAGAAUAGAAAUGAAAAAAAAAAAACCUUAAAUAUAUUUUUAAUCUUUAUAAAUCAACGCAUUUUAAUUUUAAAAUAAUAUUUUUCGUUCUUAUAAAAUGAUAGCUUUUGGGUUUCUUACAAGAUGCAGGUGGAGUUAGGGAAAUAGAGGGUACCAAAUAGCACUUCCCCAAGGUUAAGUAGGGCCAGACCUGUAUGCUCAUUCGAUUGGACCUUGCGUGCCCAAACAAUUGCUUCCUACACCAUAUCAUUCCACCCAAAUCCACCAAAUCCAGUGGAAAAGACGAAAAUAUCCUUAAUUAUUAUUUUUUGUAUUGCGGAUUUUUUUUAUCUAGAAUGGCCUUUUAAUUUUUGUUUCGGGAUUUUUAUGUUCGGAACACAGAAAACCCGAUAGAAUAUAUUAUUUUUAAUUCUGGAUUUUCAUAUCUAGAAUAAAGGAUAUUUUUGGAAUUUUUAAAAUAUGUUGGGUGCAGGUUCAAAAAUAUUGGGUGUAAGAAGAAUUUGCCAAUAUGUUUACCCAAAAAUGCGUUCAAAUAUUUAGGUAGCAAAAGCAAUUUAUAAUUAAUAAUCAGUAAUUAUUAAUAAAGCCAAUUAAUGUUGACAUUAGAACAGGGCGGGAUAAGUUCUGAGUGGAGGCCUAUGCAAGAGAAAAUAUUGCGAAGAAUUAACAUUCUAAUUUAGAUUAAAAAUUAUUUAAGGUAAAAAUACUGCAAAUAGGAUAAAAUUCUGAUUUAUAUGAUUUAAUCUCUUAAAUAUUAAAAUAUAUUGAAUACACAAAACAAAAUUGUUACGAAAGCUAAAACUUAUUUAAGCAUUUAUUAUUUUAUUAGGAAGAUUCCGAAUGACAAGUAUCAUACUACGCUGCUAUAGAUUUUUUACACAACAAAAUUCGAUACACUGUAUUGAACAACGACAGCAAAAGUAAUAAACAAAAUGAUUUACAAUUUUCUUCAAAUGGCGCUCAAACUAGAAAUCAUCCUUUGUGAACCAAAACAUUUGGAAGAUAGUAGUAACCUUGUAGUUCACGAAAAGCUCAGCAAAAAGAAGCUUGUUACUCUCUUUCUUCACUCCAAUGCUCUCCCUCUAAUCAUUGCUAGCUCUACACAAAGAUGUCACAUAUUUUUAGCUUGGGUAGCCAGAAGGGUGCAUGCAUGCCAAAGUGGCAAUUGCAAAGGCACGCAUGUGAACUUUUUACAGCAUAAAUUGAAUCCUCUGUUCCAACAACUACAAAAAAAGUGAGGAACACAGAACCCGAACCUUGUCAGGGCACACCGCGAGCUGCGGCAACUCGAUGCUCGUGUCACAUUCUUACUUUACUUUCUCGAAAAGUGGUCACUGCUCACCACUUAGUGUAUAUAUAGUAUCCUAUUCCUGUGUACUAACUCAGAACCCUGCAAGUGCGGUGUUUAUGUUCCCUCGUUAGUAACAAUAGUUGUUCUUCUGCCUGAACUUUAGCAAAGCAAGACGAGGACAAGCCAGCGUUUGUCAAGGUUCUGGAGGAGCAUGACCUUGACAUUGAGAUUGAGCUACUCUCUGAUGGAGCAAUGCAGGAACUUAGCUUCGUACAUCUCUUGUCCACAUGAACCGAGAAUAGUGAAUACACUGGUCUGUGGUCUGAGAAUUUGGACUCUCCUCUCACGUACCAUAACUGCUCCACUCCUUCUCCUUUCCACAGAAUUCGAUCGCACCUUUUGUUUUGUCCCACAUAAACAACUUCACUUCAGUUCUCAUCAUUCAUCAAUGAAACAUAACUAGAACAACAAUGUGUACGAUGAUGUUGUUCCACCACAUGUCAUCAUUUGUUACAUCAAUGCUUAAAAUGUUUUAUAAAUAAUGAUUCUGAUUCGUUAACUAUGUAAAAAAAAUAUCAUUACUGAGAAGCAAUUUGCCUGGCUGGCUCUGUGCAUGAUAAUAAAAAAAAUGAAGGUCGGUUAUUGCAAACCUGACCUCAUUUAACUUAGUUAAUUCAAAAGAGAAGUGUUUGAUUAAGACGGGGUUUUGUUAUGGUGAGAUUUUUAGAUUGGUGGAUGAUAAUUGGUGGAGGUUUCAUGUGGUUUAUAUAAAACUAUAUUGAAAAGGAUGAUGAUAUAGAAUAUACAGUGUUUCCCCGCGACCCAUCAUUCACUCACCAUUUUGGAUUAUGUCAUAAAACGUAGCCAAUGAUUUUACUUUAUUAUUGCUUAAAUCACUUGCUUAUAUGGUUGACUAAUUCAGAGCAUUAAACAAUGCACAGUUGCGAAUAUAUUAUACAGCACAGGGAAAUCCUUUUCAGAGGCUGGUUCAUAAAGAAUUGCAAAUGGUAUUACAUUACGUACCAACCAAGUGAAGUUGCUUAAUUAUGCGUAGCAUGGUUGAAAAUUAUGUUCAACUAGAGAUAUCUUAAUCGCAAAAGGUCAUCACUGAACGUCACAGCAUAUGCAAAACAGACGGCAAUAAUGCACAUGAUCUAAUGACAUUCCCAUUGUGGAUAAGAAGAGUUUUGGCUUCAACAAAAAGGUUUAAAGCUUACCAAGCCGGUGUUCGUCGUUUUUCCUUGGACUUGUUGGUUUGAGCAACAUACUGGUCAGAAUCAAAUAAGUAUUUGUAAGUUGGUGCAAAGUAUAUCUUCCCUUCCUUCCACUCUUUGAACACUCUACCAGCUCUUUGCUCUAUCCUUAGCUGUCACAAGAGAAUGAAUAGAACAAAAUGGUAAGACAUAGACAAAAAUAUUAUUAUACCUCACGCAUUUAAGAACAUGUCAAGUAAGAACACAUAAACAAAAUAAAUGGUAAUAUAUAUAAUUACCUGAUCCUUCUCUAACAGAGCCUGCCAAUCAUUCUUUUUCAGUAGUUCAAGUGUAUCAUCAUAACCAGCAGCAAGGCGAUAAUUCAAAUCCCCAAGCCAAAUAAUCUUACUGCAGAUACCAAAAAAUUUAAAGGGUCAUUUAGUAACUAAAGGUAAUUGAUAGAUUAUUUCUCAAAUUGGAAAGAAAGAACAUACUCAUGCUCUAAUAUGGUUUCAGGAGGGAGUGGUUGACCAGGAGCUUUGAAUGAGUGAGAAAAUUUAGUUUUCUUUAGGAUCUCUGAUACGUCCAAAUUUCUUCGUAUCUCGUCACCCUCCUUCUCUCCAGAGGCCAAGUGGGUAUUAACCAAGCAAAACGUCGUGUGGUACAAUGUCAUGCUGAUUGAUACUGAACCCUGUUGAAUUAACCAACAAAAACAAAAGUGAUAAGCAACCACAUACAUCAUCAUUCUAGCUAGCUAGUAGAAACUCUAAUGCAAAAUGGUCCCAUUGCAAAAUCUAAUGCAAAAUUUAAUUUUUAAAAAAAUGUUCACCCCUAACAUGACAUGGGAAAUUAACAAGACUGAAUAAUAUAUGAAAGGAAAUUAGAGGAAUGAACCAACCUUAUUUCCUAGAUAGCCCAUGAUGCCUCUACCAACGGAAGACACUUUUAAAUUGGUGACAUGCUUGUAAAGAUCCUCACGUACCCACACGCACAAGAAGAUACCCACCAUUUGUUUACUUGCUGCAAGGCAAUAAUAAUGCUCUUGUUCUUGUUCAUGUUCACUUGAGCUACAUAAUAAUGUAGGAGAACUUUCUUCACUCGAGCUUGUGUUAGAGUUCAAGGCUUCACGAAUCAGAGUGAGCCACUUUGUUGCUGGGCCACUGUCCUCUGGCCCAAGCACGUUCCCUGGGUUUAGAGGUAUAAUUUCUUGGAACCUAAGGUGCAAUGUAGUGAAAACAAAAUUUAGUAUUUUAGAUUAUUCUACAAUCAACACAAAGACAUCAAUUUGUAGGAAGUGAUGGAGCAAAAUGAUUUUCACAUGGACAUUAUUUCAAGUCCCUAGAAUUAUCAGGGGCAAAACAGUCAGCUGAGAAUGGCCAAAAGCUAAAACGCAUAUGCACGUUAUUAUGAGCUGUGAGCAUGUUUGGUUUGCGUGGAUGGCGUGGUUCAUCCAGCGAAGCUCAUCAAUUUAACAAAGGUUUCACUAGUAUGGUUCAAGGUUUCUCGCAUCACUCCAAAACUUGCUACAUGCAAAGUGCUGGUAGUUAUUUACAUGAAGGGAGUUAUUUAAAAAGUAAGAUUAGAACCUGUAACAAUUGAUUAAAAAAUUGCCAUGCAGUCUAAUACAAAAUACAUAUUUCAAUUCAAUUUGAAGAAAGUAAUAUUUAUGUGCCUAAGGUUAAUUUUGAAUAUAAAGCUUCUGUUUUAUAUACACGAGCUAAUUAUAUGAGAAGAAGGGUAAAAUUUGUCAGUUACAUUUUUGGCCAUAAUUUACUCUUCUGAGAUAAAGCCUCUGAGGUGUUGAGACUUUGGAGUCACCACCAUAACCAAUAAUAAAAGAAUUAGAGUUGUGAAAACUGACAGCGUAAUUAUGAGUACAGACUCUGCACUCCUUGAAGUGAGUAAACAAGGAAGUUUUCACAAGAGGAGUUGUAUAAAUUGGAAACUGGUAUUGGUAGUAUCAACAAAGAAGGAAGAAUAGAAUAAAAUAAUAUACCCAAUGACAUAGAUAUCAGCUGGUGAAGGCAACAUCAACCAAUCCCUCAAGUUCAAUCCUUCGUUGGGUGACUUCCCUCCCACAUUCCACGUCCCCACGAACAUCCUACAAACCCAUUCACAGACCAACACCCUCGGUCAUCUUUUCCAACUCAACAAAAUUCUAUAACCAAAAUUUCACUAAAAACUAGCACUAAUUUUAGUUCCUAACACAUAACAUAUCACAGUUAUAUUUCAAACAAGCAUGAUGGAUAUGUUUACCUAAGGUUGAGCGUGUCGAUGUCACUGACCACUGGAGUCUCCUUCACUGAUGCGGAAUGUUUCAAUUCGAUUGUGGAAUCCAUCUGCCACCCCUCUUUGAAAAAAUCCAAAUAACCAUAAUCAGUACUAAAAUAAACAAAAAAAAACACUAAUUUAUGUUGUUUUUUUCAAAACAAGAGACCCUACAAGAAACCUAAAACCGUGUGGCUUUGCAGUUGCAGGUACAGUGAUCAUAGGCCAAAUUGAAUUCCAGAGAAUUAGCCACCCACGUGGCAGAUUCAAUGGAAAACAUCCCUGAUGGGACCCAGGGCCCCGGUAACAAAUUUCGGGCACCCUUAUCAAUGUCACUUCCUUUUGUUCCAUCACCAUGUCUAAUCACACUACACUAACCCAUCUACCACCAAUCUGUCCCUCGAAUUGCUGAGAAAUCCACGUUUUCACCCCCAAAAAAAUCAAAUCAGAAGUUCAAAACUGUAGGGGGAAAAUUAAUAGAAGGAAAAACCCGAACCGGAUUUUACCUGGUAAAGAGUAAUCUGAGGGAAAGCUAUCACCGUUGCUCCUUUUAUUGAGCCACUUUCUCACAUUAAAAUUUGGCCAUGAAGACUGUAACCCGAAAAUGAGGAAAAAAAAGGGGGGGGGGGGGGGGGGGUGAGAGUGAGAGAGAUCAUAAAGAACAUGUAUGACCAAAAGAAGAAGAUAGCAAGGACAUUUAGGUUGGUUGUAUAGUGCAGACAUACCUUGGAUAUCUUCUUCUUCAAAUUCGUUGUCAUUGUUUUUCUCCAACUGAACCAAAUAAGACAACAGCAAAUGAUCAGGAACGAUAAAAUGGCAUGAGCACGCAGGUGCCGGAGGUUAAAAAGCAACAACAGCGAUUAUCUAAAUCCAUGUGGGGAUUUUAUACAAUUAAAGUUGGAAAUUUUGGUAAGUCAUCAAGGGAGAAAAAACAACAAAAUGGGUCUGCACAUGAGAAUUUUGUUUUUCUUUAUUGUACGAGAAAACUAAGUUUAUUGUUUGAAAUGCUAUUAAAGUAGUUUUGAAUAGUUUUCAACGGCAAUAUUUAAGACCCAGUUGCAGGGGAAACGGAGACAGCUUCUGAGUAAUAAAAACAUUAAAAAAGAAAACGAAAUUGGGUUGUGUUAUAGAAUAUACCAAAAAAGAGAGAAAGAAAGAGCUUAGAAAAAAGGCUAGGUGCAUCUUUCUCUUCUGUUCUAAGGAAUAAUAAUAUCUCUUUAUUAGAAGCUCCAGUUUUGCGCUUUACAGGUAAGAAAAACAGUGCGUGGAUGAACCGAGCAUCUGUGAUCACAUUCAACGUUCGUUCAAAAAGCGAAAGUUUGCGACUUUUUUCAAGGCAAAACCUGCACACUAACUGGGGUUGUCUGCAUCCAAAACUAGAAGAGCGAAAAAGAAGCGGCGUGUGAGAAUGGAUGGAAACACAUCAAUCAAACUGGACCCGGAAUAGGGGUGGUGAAAACGAAACGAGGGACACCAAAUCCGAAGGCUUUUCGAGAACGCGGAAAGAACAAAAAACAAAAGAGAAAAAAAGCAUGGCAGUGAUAGAAGCAAGACAAGAGCAUAUAACAAAAGAGAAAGUGGAAUAUUAUAGAGAAGUGAAGUGGGUCAACGGCAUUGGUUAUUGUAGUAUAGUGUGUGAACAAAUGAAAGACUAAAACGAUGAAAAGCACUUACAAGAAUUGAGAAGAAUGGUGGUUUUUGGUGUGGGGUUUCAGUGAAAAUGAUUCAGAGGAGAGUGUGGAUAUGAAAGAGACUGGUUAUAGUCCCUUCCCGGUUUUGAUGCUUCCUUGAUCCUUCCCCUUUGAUAAUGAUGGUGAAGGGUGAAGAUUGAAGAGUGAAGAGAGGUAACACAUAAAGGUUUUUUGUGAUAUAUAACACUGUUCUGUAGCUUCUAUUCUAGUUUCUUUGCCUUUAUUGGUUUGUAGGGAAGGAAAGGUGGAACUCAGAAAGAGAUACAGAGGAUGUUUUCUUUUGGGGGCCUUUCUUGGAAAAGCCUUCCUUCCAUAAACAACAUAAAUUAAUAUCUUUCCCACUCCAAAUUACUGGAUAAAUAUUUACUUAUGUAAUUAAAAUAAAUAAAUAUUUUUUUUUAAAAAAAACUUCAUUAUCUUUUCAAUCUUGUUACUCAUUUUAUUUAAGCUGGUCCCAGUUAAUAAAAAGUUUAAUUAAAUAUAACAAUUUUUUAUCUAAUUAACAUUAACAAAUAAAUGUUGAUAAUUUUAAUUUAAGCAUGAUGCAAUUUAUGGUCAAGACCUUGUGGAAAUUUAUAAAAUUAACAUGUUAAUUUUACAGAAAAAUUGGUUAUAGUGGUACAUUUUAAGAUUGAGAGACUUAGUAUUAAACAAAUUAUAUUAUUACAUAAAUUAACAUUUUAUUAAUAAAGGAAUAAAUAAGAUUAAAAGAUAAUUAUGUCUUUUUAAAUAUAUAAUGUAUAUUAUAAUUCAGAUUUUAAUAAAUAAAUAAAUAAAUCAUUUCGAAUGUAUGAAUUAUAUUUUGAAUGUACAAUGACUAAUGGUUUUAUUCAAGGUUGUUUUUAAGAGUUUAAAUUUAAGGUUCAUUACAAGGGAUCAAGGUGCAAGAGGAAUUAAGUUUCCCCGUAUGUUAGAACUACUCUUUUAAAGUUUAAUGUUUUAUUUUUCUCCUGCAUUUUUUUUUCAAUUUAAUAUUAUUAUUAUUAUUAAAGUUUUCAAUUUGGUUUAAUUUUUAAAAUUACUCUAUAUAUUCCAUUCUUUAAAUAUUGAAAAUAAUGGAUGAAAGCAACAUCCUUUUGAUAAGGCUAGUAAUGCCCCCAAAAUAGCAUAUAUAUAUAUAUAUAUAUAUAUANNNNNNNNNNNNNNNNNNNNNNNNNNNNNNNNNNNNNNNNNNNNNNNNNNNNNNNNNNNNNNNNNNNNNNNNNNNNNNNNNNNNNNNNNNNNNNNNNNNNUUUUUACCCAGCCUGGUGAAGGAAAUUCCCAUCUAAUAGGAAGAGGACGAAGAACUUUACCACUACGAGUCUUAAUACUGAAAAACUUAAUCACGUUGAAGUCCAACAUAUCAUUCUUCAUUGAAGCUUUAGACGAAUUUCCCACUAGACAAGUUAAAUCUUUAAUUAUCGAAAUAGCCUUAGAAACCCCAAUCUUAUCCUGAACAUGGUGAAUUUUUUUAUCCAUCUGUCUCUUUUAAUUUGUAUACUUUGUCUAUUUAUUUUAUAAUUUUUCUUAAACUACCCUUAGUUGAAAAUUGUAUAAUAAUAAAAAUAUUAUUUUAAAUUCAAAUAAAUUUAUAUUUUCAAACAAAUUUAUUUUUUCAUUAUUUUAAUUAUAAUGUAAUUUACAUAUGAUAAUUAUUUUUUAAUUAUAAAUUUUAAAGAUAACCUAAUUAUAUCUUCUAUAGACUAAACUAUAUCGUCUAUAUUAAGAUGCUCUAAUUGAACUUUAAAUUUUAGGUUUGUAGUUAUAUUAAAUACUCAUAUAAAGAGUUUUACUCUUUUUUUUUGUCUUAUCUUACUUGAAUAAAGUUAUUUCUCGUAAAAGAUAUAUAACUUCAAACAUAAAAAUUUAUGCAUAAAUUAAAAAAAAAUAAAAAUUUAACACCAAACCAUUUUUACAAAAUGCGUAAACAGAUUUUAUCUUUUUAAGAAAUUAUUUCAUUUUAUAUUUCAUAUUUAUUUAUAAUUUUUUGUGAAAAAAAUGUUUAAACAUAACAAUAAUAGAGUAUUUUUCAACAAAGAAAACCUCUCAACUUCUUCUAUCUUUGUAUCUAAAUAACGGUAGAAGAUGGAAUAUUCAAGCUUGUUAAACUUGAGUUUGAACCUUAUUAGAUGUGGGAGGAAAUGUUUGAUCAACGAUUCAACCAAAAAAAAUGGUUAGACCUAUUAUUCUCUUUAAUUUUGCAAUAGUCUGACAAUUUUAUUUUAAUUAUUACUGCAAAUUAAUUUUCUGAUAGGAAUUUCAGAAUCGUAAAUUACGUUGCUUAAAAUUUAAUUUUAAUCAGAAUGAAUUUUAGAUGUAAAAAUAAUUUUUAAAAUAAUAAAUGAGUAAAAAACAUAAACGAGAAGGAGAUAAUUGGUUUAAAAAAUAAUCUCUAGGAAUUUUAAAAAUAUCUUCUUAAAACUAUUGUUGAAGAGGGUAGCAAAAAUAACCUCUAGCAAAUUUUAUAUCUACGAUAACCUACCAACAAGAAUACACCAGAUAGUAAAAAAAAUAAUUUCUGAAAUUAUACCUUAACGUAUGUUAGUCCUGAAACAAAUAACUUUUUUUUAUAUUUUUAAUUUUAUUUUAUUUCAAUCUCUAAGAUUAAAUAUAUAUAUAUAUAUAUAUAUAAAUAAAAUAAAAAUUAAUUUUAAAGAAUCGAAUAAAGUCAUAAAAUAUUUCAUGAACUUAUUUUAAUUAUUUUAAUUUCAUAAGCUAAUAUUACAACGGGAUAAAAUUUCAGUGACUAAUCAUUUACUGUAAAAGAAAUUAUGCAUUGUGUAAAUUAGGUUGACUAGAAUUUAUCUAAAUAUCAAAAAAAUAUAUGUUUACUUUUCAGCUAUGUAACAUAGAUACAGAGGACACUGACACGACACGGAUACGGACACGAAGAUACGUAUAAUCUUUAAAAUGUAGACACAAGGAUACGGAUCUAUAUAUUAUAUAGUUUUGAGUUAUAUAAAUUGAAAAUAAAUAUUUAUAUGCAAAAGUAUGUUUAAGAUUCUUUUGGGAGUAGGAAGAUAUUUUUCAUGACUGGUUCAAAAGAACUUGUUCCUUAUUUUCAUAAUUAUAAUACAAAUUUAUACAAUAAAUUUGAGUUUUUAAAAAAUUAUUAUAUUUAUACCUUUUAAAAUUGUGUUAGAACCGUAUUAAAAUUUUAAAAAAUCCAACAAAUAUUUUUUGAAUUGAACAUUUCACCUCCUACGAGAGUGUUGUACGAGUGUAGACACCGAUACAUGUGUCCGACACGGAUACGCCCAUUUAAGAAAAGUUUCAGCGCAUUUCAUUAUUCAUGAUAUCAAGUCAUGUAUAAAUUUAAACUAGUUUUCUUAUAAUGUUAGGUGAUUAAUGUCUUGUUUUCAACAUUAUUUUCAAUUUAAACAAUGCAAGUAUUGUUAAAAAUUAUUUUACUUUCUUAUACUUAUGUAAAAUGUCAUUAAUUGCUCUUUAAAGGAAUUAUUAGUCGCUUUUAAACAUUAAAGGCUAAGUAAAUGUUAAAUUUUUAUAUGAAUGAUAGUUAACUUUUUUAUGUUAAAGUUUCGAUAAAUACAUUAAAAGAAUUAGGCAUGAGUGAGGAGAUAAUGUAAAAAGAGUAAUUUUUUAAUAAAAUGAAUAAAAUAUUAGUUAAAACGCCCCCACUAAAUUUAAAUAUACUGGUUGAUAUUUAUAAAUAUAAUUAUUAUCUCUCUCUAUAUAUAUUAUUACUAUCAAAAUAUUUUUAUAUAUAUUACAUAUCAUCACAAGAUUAAAUCAAUGCACUUUUUAACCUCUUCCCUACGUCCAUUUACAAUAUUAAUGUUUCCAUAAGUCAGAUAAUAAGUUGAAACAAAAAUAUAAUAUUAACAAAACUAUUUCAUAAUCAUUCACGAUCAUAUACGUAUAAAACUACAUAUAUACAUAUAAAAAAAUAAAAAAUAAAAAAUAAUAUAUAUAUAUAUAUAUAUAUAUAUAUAUAUAACUAUUACUAUUCUACAACUAAAGAAUAAACGANNNNNNNNNNNNNNNNNNNNNNNNNNNNNNNNNNNNNNNNNNNNNNNNNNNNNNNNNNNNNNNNNNNNNNNNNNNNNNNNNNNNNNNNNNNNNNNNNNNNAAACUAAGACAUAUAUAUAUAUAUAUAUAUAUAUAUAUAUAUAUAUUUAUAUGCAUACAUCAAAACUAAUAAAAUAUAUACUUUAUACAUUACUUAAAAAUACAUAUAUUAAACAAAACAACUAAUGAUAAUAUUUCCAAUUCUAAUUAUCCAUGAUUUAUUUAUAUAUCAUUAGUCACUUUAAAAUAUAAUAAAGUAAAACUGAAUUGACUUUUUUAAAACUAUAAAUAUUAAAUUAUCAUCACAUAUUCUAAUAUCAUAUAACAAAAAAAUCACAUGCAUACUAAUUUAGAUAACAUAAUCAUCAAUUGUUUCAAUAAAAUUAAGGUAAUUUUUUCAUAUUUUUGCGUAAUUUUUUUUAUAUAUUUACGUCUUUUGUCAAAAUAUUUCUAUUGUCAAAUUAUUCAUAUUAAAUAAAUAUUAAAUAUAUGUUUCACUAUAGACUAUCAUCAUCACAAGUAAUUAUCAUAUAAAUAAUUGUAUAUGCAAUUAUCAUCACAUACUAUAUUAUAGUAUUAGAAACAAUUCAAAAAAUACAUACAUACUUAGUUUAGAUAAUUACAAUAAGUAUCAAUGGUAUAUCCAAUUAUAUCACAUUUUGAUGUUUUUUUAAAAAAAAUUAUUAAAUAUGUUUCACCAAAAACUAACACCUAAUUCAUCAGAAGCAUUAUAGGAAUAAUCUACCUAUAUUUAUUUAUGUUAAGGUGGUUCAUUAUAGAUACUUUAUAAAACUAGAUGUAUGAACCUUCUUCACUUUUUCACCACCUCCUAAAAUCUUAAUUUAUGGUGAUUUAGAUUAUUAUUGGAAUAAAAAAUAUUUAUUUUCCUUAAUAAAUUUAUCUACUUAAUAUUUCAACCACAAUAAAUCACGAUAUUGUCUUUGGUACCUACACACAAUCAUAAUAGAUCACAAUAAUAUUCCAAGCAUUCACAUAAAUACACCAACAUGUAUAUUCACACACACACUUACACUAAUGCAUACAUAUAACACAUACAUUAUUAACAUUUUAUGCCAAAACCAUAUAUGCAUGUCACUAUAGCAAAAAUUAUAUUGCUUAAGUUACUUCAUGUCACUUUUUGAUACCUUCUAUAAAGGAGAGAUAAUUUAUUUAGCCUCUCUCUUCCUCAAAAGUUUUUUUUUGCCUAAGGAACCAAUUUUAGAGGAGAGAAAACUAACAUUUCCUCUCUCUUAAUCAAACACGUCACUUAAUCACUUGAAGGACAUGUCUAGUUGCACAAGUCAUCAAAUUUUAGAAUACUACCAAAAAAAUCAAAUUCUUCAUCAUGAGUGGUUAAAAUUUCGGAGAAGAAAAAAAUGUUUUAACUUCUCUCUCUUUCAAGUUAUUAGUUCGAUAACUAGCAUAUGUCAUUUGAGUGACGAUGAAGUCACUUAAUAAAUAAUUAUUAAAUGCUUUGAGUUAUCACGACGUCACUUAAUAAAUAACAAUAAAUGCAAUCAAUGAUUUUGAAUAUCACUCACUCGAGUUGUGACUCGAUGCUCAAAUGAGAUAUAUAGAAAAACAUUAUAUCAAGACAUAUUCAUAAAAAAAAAAUACUCAUCAUUGUUUUUUUAUGCAUGUUAACAUAUGUAAAAGAACCAAAUAUAGAUGUUAAACACCUAAUAAUACAAUACAAGAAAAUUAUUAAAUAUAAAUUCAUUUUAGAGACCAAAAUAAUUAGUUACUAUUUGACUAAAUUAAAGACUAUUCUAUAAACUAACGAAAUUAUUGGUAUCUAAAAUAGUUUAUAUUAUUAAUAAAAAAAUUAUAAAAUAGUUAAUUUAGAAUAUAAAUUACUCCCAAUUUAAAAACUAUUUUAUAAAUUUUUAUUAAUAAUAGUUUCUAAAUUAAUAUCGAAAUUAGCUAUCAAGUUUCAACUACUAAUAUUUUAUAUUCUUGAUGAGUCUCUAAAAGAUUAAGAGAGACAAAUUUAAAAUGUAAAAUGUGUAGUAACUAAAACAUUUGUAGCUAAUGGUUAGAUACCAAUAUAGAAACUAUUUUAUAAAUUUGUAUUAUUAAUAAAAAUUGUUUUAUAUGACACAAUAUUUUUUUAAUUUAUAAAAUGCUCUCUUAUUUAAAUAUAGAAAUUAUUUUAUAAAUUUUUAUUAUUAAUAAAAAUUAUUUUAUAUAUUGUAAUUUUUUUAAUUUAAGAAAUGCUCUUUAAUUUAUUUAAUAUAAUAACUAAUUAUUUUAAUUUUUAAAAUUAAUUUUUAUUUAAUGAUUUAAAAUUUAAAGGCUAAUUAGGUUGAUAGAAAAAAAAUAUUUGAUUCAUUCUAGUUUAAAAUAUUUAUUUAUUACAAAUUUUAGGGAUAUAAAAUAAACAUUUAUACUUUUAUAUUUUUACAGCAUUGUAUAUAUACUAUUAAUUAAAUAUUAUACAAUAUUAAAAUUAUAAUAUUAAUUAAUCAUGGUUAAGCCAAUAAACCACGAACCAGUAUUUUUGUUCGUUUCCAAUGGCCUAAUUUUUUUUUUUAUAAAGUUUUUGUGUUAAGCAUCACUAUGCAACUUGACAUCUCAGCUAAGCUGACACCUCAAAUAACAACAAUCAUCUGCCAUCACAUGAAAAAAAAAAAACUUAAUUAAAAAGAAAAAAAGAAAAGAAAAAUAACAAAAAUAAUGGGGGGACGUAGACCAAAACCCAUAUGUUAACACAAACGAUACAUAGGUAGAUUAUACCUAUUCAUAAAGAAUUCUAAGAACAGACUAGAUGGGAGUCUAUUAUACCAAUGAAAAGAUUUUCUAUGAAUAAAUCCUAAAUUAGACAAUCAGCACACGCAUUCCCUUCACGAAAAAUAUGAGUUACCCUAAACCUGAUUGUUCCACNNNNNNNNNNNNNNNNNNNNNNNNNNNNNNNNNNNNNNNNNNNNNNNNNNNNNNNNNNNNNNNNNNNNNNNNNNNNNNNNNNNNNNNNNNNNNNNNNNNNUAUUACACAUAAUACCAAUGAAUAGAUCUCAUUAUCACCAUGAAUAAAUAUCAUAGACAUGCAUUCAACAUAUUAAUCUUUACUAUAUAACAUUAAAUGUUCAUUAGAUAUCAUUUGAGCACAUUUAUCUCGCUUAAGCGACCUUACUUCUUGAAACUAAGGAAUAUUCCGUCGCUCAAAUGACAUUGCUUCCUAAAACUGAAGAAGACUUCCUCACUUGAAUGGUCUCAUAUUACUUGAACAACCUCAUAUUGCUUAAGCAGUAUAACUCAAGCUAAAAUAAUUAAUUAUGUCUCUCCUCCACUCAAACGCUUGAAUGACUAUUGUUUGAGCCUCAUUCCAACAUUUGGACAAUACUAUUUUUUUGUAUCAUCCAACAAGUUCUAGAAUCACUAAUCUCACUAAUUUAUUAAUGUUUGAGAGAUCAUUGUUGCUUGAGUGUUGACAAAUAAUUGUAUGGCCUGACACAUUCCAUAAUUCUAUCCACUGUUUCCACUUUAUCGCUUGAGUGACCUUUAUACCACUUGUUCAAUAUUAACUACAAAGAAAAAGAAGAAGAAAGAAUUGUCUUGGUUUCUCUUCUUCAAACUUCAAGUUAUAAUACACUCUUUUGUUGAAUUAUAUACUUUAUACUUAAGUACAUAAUGACAAUUAAGUGACAAUGGACAAUGCAUUAAUUACGAUUAGUGAUUCAUCACUUAAACAAUUUCAAAAUAAAAAACAAAUUCACAAGCAAAUAUAAAUCAUAUCACUUCUUAUACAUCUACAACAUUUUAAAAUUACUUUUAAAAAUAUAUACAAAGUUAAAUUUUUAAUAUGACUAUAUUACCUUCUUUUAUUAUGAUUCUUUCACAAUUACACAUAUGUAUAAUCAUAGCCAUUUGACAUUUUGUUUACAUACACAUACGAUUUGUAUUAAUUUAAAAGUAUUCAAUAUUUUGUUUAUAUAAACAUACCCAUUUGAUAUUUUGUUUACAUAAGCAUACACAAUUUGUAUUAAUUUAAAAUUAUUUAGUGUUUUAUUUAUAUAAAAUGAUGUAAUCUAUAUUUUAUAAAAUAUGAAUAAUUAAAUCAUAUUGUUAUUGCCAUUGAAUUUUAACAAAAUUUGAUAUAAAUGGUCGUAAUAUUUAUAACUCAACAAAAAUAUUUUUUAACAUAAUAAAUAAGUUCUUUUUAAGCACACUCCUUAAAUAAGAAUGAGCAACUUGUCCUCUAUUAAAAUAUGCUCUUCCAUAUUUCUUUGUUUUUUUCAACUUCGGUUGUGCCCCACAAAUCGUACCAAAAUUUAUCCCUCUCCCACAAAAGAGAUGAAGCACCACUGAUGAGUCCAAUGAGUCACCAAUAACUAAUAAAAAGAUAAUAUUAAUUUAUUAAAUGUCGAAAAUGAUGCAGGGGAAGGACAAGUGUAUUCAAACAUUUUCAAAUAAUAAAUAUUUAAAAGCAAAUUUAGAUUUGCCAGUAUUUGAUAUCACCAUGCACUUACUUUGGAUAUUCUAGAAUGAUGAUAGGCUUCAAUUCAGGGAAGUUGCAGCAUCCUCAUCCAAGUUCUUCAGUUAAAGAUUUUCAUUGAAGAUUAAUUAAUGUGUUUUUAAAAUAACACUAACCACUGAUUUAAACAUUGGUGUCUUCUGACUCAGGGAACAACAAGAAAUAUGGUGCUAUCAUGGCAAAGUCUUCCUUCAUAUCUACCUAUAAUUUUCAGGAACCAGUAAACUUACCAAUCCCAAUAGAUUUACAGGGAACAUUUUUAACAGACGCAUCAAGAAUUUAACUUUUUGACUAAAACAUGGAAAGAAAAAAAAAUAAAAAAAAUCGCAAUCUUGGUCGGUUCAUAAUGUUGAUAAGAUCGGUUCAUAAGGUAGAUAAGAUUUGGCAAAUUUCAUGUUAGUGUUCAUGUUAUUAUAGAACAAGUAUUGAGAUUUGAUGUUAACCUCUAUAAAUAAUAACCUGCAUAAGAAUGUCGUGAAUUGUCUCUCAUGCUUAUCAUUCUUGAUUUAUUUGAUUUUUUAAUAUACUAUUAUCAUUCCAUAAUUAAUUGCAUUCAAUUUUUAAAAUUAUAUUUUUUAAAAGAGUUCGAGAAGGGUUAAUAUUUUUAAGAAAGUUUUCAAAACCAAUUUAUCCCUUUUGAUUUAACUUAACCUCAAAUUCUUUUACAAUACAUACAAGUAAGAAACACGAGGAUAAGAAAAAAAAAACUAUUGUAAUAAUUUAUCUAAAUAAGAAAAAAUUUAUAAUUCAAUUCAAUGAUCAUCAUAUCCAUAACUACAUACAUAUAUGGGUCUAUAUAUCAAUGAUAUUCAUCAAGAAAUACCUAUCAAUACAUUCUAGAAGACAUAUAUUAAGGAAGUUUUAUAAGAGAUUAACACCUUGACGACUUAAGCAUACCUAAGCUUCAUGGGUUCAGGAUAAGUUUAAGGCAUCUAAAAUCUGGAACUCAUCAUGUGUCAAAUGUGCAAUAAACUCUCUUUGAAUUUCUCACCACAUGAUGUCUUAGUUUAUAUGACUUAAAUCAUUAGUAAAGUUAAAGAUCCUUUUCAUAAGUUCCAACACUUAUACAUAAAUUCAAACACUUGUUCACAUCUCACCCCAAAUUCGUGACCACAAUUCAUACAAUACACAUGUCAUUGACGCUCACAUUACAUAUAUGAAACACAAUUCACUUUAAAUAAAAUAAUAAAUCAUUUAAGCAUACAAUUCAAUAUUUUAUACAUACACACACAAACACACACACACACACACACUUAUACGUAACAUCCAUACUCAGAAAACCUAGGAAAUUAACUUGUGUAAGGAUAUCAAACGAUAUAUUGGUUGAGAGAGGACAUCAUACAAUACUCAUUUAAGUGACUUAGAUGAUACCUUCGUUUAAGCACCUCUAAAUUCGUUGAACAAGGGAAUCAAAUAAGACAAUCACUAGAUUCACUCAGACGAUACCUUUGAUUUCUUCAAGUGAGGGUAUUAGAUAAUACACUCACUUAAGUGCUUUUGAUUUCCCUGGGUAAGGGUAUCAUAUCACACACUCACUGAAGUGACUCAAAUUGUACCUCCGUUUAAACAUUUUUUUUAUUUCUUUGAGCAAGGGUAUAAAAUGAUACACUCAUUAGAGUGACUCAAAUAAUACAUUCACUUAAGCACUUCUGAUUUCGCUGAACGAGAGUAUCCAAUGAUACACUCAUCGAAGUCCCUCAGAUGAUAUCUCCUACAUAAGAACCAAAACAACUUUAAAAAUGAAACCACUUCACUUUAACUCUAUACAACAUUCUUACGCCCAUCAUAUAAAAUUAUUCCUUACAAAAUAUAGCUAAAUAGAAUUUACUUUACUUUUUAAGAUGAACUUAAAAUUCUAUAUGUAGCUGAAGAAUGUCAAACUCACAUGUAAUAAUAAAAAUUAGAUUCUUGGAACUGAAGAGUGGUAAAAUCAUUUUACAAAUGAGACUCUAUAUGUAACUGAAGAACGUCAGACUCACAUGUAACAAAUGAGCUUCAAACUUUACAUGCAGUUGAAGAAUGUUAGACUCACAUGUAAUAAAUGAACUUCAGGGAUCUACUUGCAGCUGGAGAACGUCAGACUCACAUGCAACAGAAGAUCAUCAGACUCUACAUAUAGCCGAAGAAUGUCAGACUUACAUAUAACUAAAGAUUUACAAACUUAGCUAAAGAGCUUGAGACUUACAUGCAACCUAACCUAAGAUUUUGUACUCUAUUUUGGAUUCAAUAACCAAGAGUGUCUAAUAUAUUAUCUAAAACUUUUCAUUCUCAAUAAGCUUCGAGCUCAAAAAAAGAAUUCAAUUAACUCUUAAAAGUUUUGAUUCAAAUAUUAUUCAACUCAAAACAAUCAUUGUUUCUCACUGAUGAGGUGAGAUUUGAUUUUGUGAGAUUUGAAAAAAAUGAGGUUCAAAUUAAUAAAUUUAGAGAAAAAUACAAAACAAAAUCUUAAAGAGAGAAAAUAAAGAGAAAAACAUACAUGCAAGUGAAAAAAAAAAUGGAAAUGAUAUCUUAUAAAUUAUCUUAAAAAAAUCAAUACAAAAACUAACACUUCUUCUGUAUAUAACAAUUUCUGAUUGAAUAAUUGUAUAAAAACUUUCAUACUAUCGGUAUAUUCUAAUUAAAUUCGUGUUUCAUGAAUUGGGAAUGCCUCCUAUUGUACUAAAUGAAGAUGUCGACUUUGGAGCUUCCAUACAUAUAUAUAUAUAUAUAUAUAUAUAUAUAUAUAUAUAUAUAUAUAUAUAUAUAUANNNNNNNNNNNNNNNNNNNNNNNNNNNNNNNNNNNNNNNNNNNNNNNNNNNNNNNNNNNNNNNNNNNNNNNNNNNNNNNNNNNNNNNNNNNNNNNNNNNNAACAAAUAAUAUUAAAAAAGACUUAACGUUAACCGACUUUAAAUUUACAAAAAUUUAAAAUAUAAUACAUCAAAAUAUAAAAGACAGUUUUUCAAAAUAUUUAUUACAUAUUGCUAUUAUUAUUAUUAUUAAUAACAAUAAUGACAGUAUCAAUAAAAAUAAAACUAAUAACAUUAUUGUAAGAAUCAUAAGAUAAUGAAAAUGUUUCUUUGUUGUACCAAUUAUGUGUAGUAUAAUUACUUUUUAGACUCGUAUUCUAUUUCCUAUUUUCCUGUUGCAACAAAAUGUUAAUAACAAUAACAAAAAUAUUAAUGAUAUCAUUGGUAAUAUUGUAUUUUCUUAUAGCAAUCAUAUAUAUAAUUGGAUUUUUAACUUGAUUAUCAGCGGGUUUAAACAAGUUUUAAGUUCAAUCAGCAAUGACAUAUAUCUUUUUCUUUACACAAUCACAAUCAUUUAUAUUUGUUAACACUUAUCAACUAAUUAAAUCUCAACUAUAACAUUGCGUCAACUCAUUAAAUUUCAACUAAAAUGAUAAACCCCCGAUUUUCAAUAGUUCGGCUUCAUCCCUACUUUUUGGUGGCUUGUAAUGGAUAGUUAAUAAUCGAUCUAGUUAAAUAUACAAAAUCCCUAAUAAUAUGCAAUUUGAAGUGAAAGACCAAUUAAAUAAAUAAAAAUAUCAACAUAUUUUUUGUAUGAUGAUACAAUUUUUUUUAGUAUAAACUACAAAAAAUUACUAUUGAGAUACUGGUUAUCACUGGUAUCCUUUUUUUUUCAGUAGAUAGUUAAGUUUAUUUUCAAAUCCUAUAUAAAUGGGUUUUCAUUAAAAUAUAAAAAAAUAGAAUCAUAUAGUUAUUUUUGAGAAGAAAAGUCCUUUAUAUAGGAUAUGAAAUAUUUUAUUUUUAUAUAUUGUAAGUUAAUUUACAACAACUUCCAAUCAAUAUUUCUAUUAUAUGUAAUUAAAUAUUACUAAUUAGUUUAUUUUAAAAAAGAAAAUCUAAAUACGUGUAAUUAUUGAGCUAAAUAAGUAUUUUAUUUACAAAAUAGAUGGUAAUUCUAGACCACUAAUAAGUUUUUUCUUUAAGGGUAUAUAUGAUUUUAAAUCACAGAAAUUAUAUCUUUAAUAUGUUAUAAGAAUAAAUGUGCCCACUGACCCCACUCGAGAUAAAUUCAAGAUCAAAUUUAAUUGGGUCAAAAAAUGUGUGAGGGGUAGGGAAAAGGACUAAUGGCUUAAUUGUUGUUGUUGUUCUUUUUUUGAAACAAGUGUUUGACAUCUUUUGAAGUAUAUAUUCUCUUUGGGUGGAAAAUUAGAAUAAUGUGAUAAAAAGAGAAAAAAGAAAAAAGAAAUAUAUUGGAUGAUGCAACAAAACAAAAAGAAAUAUGUAAAAGUGAAAAAAAAUCCAAUUUAUUAUCUAAGUGACCCUAUACAAUUAAGCAACAGAUAAUGUAUACCACAUAAAUAAUUAUGCAUCUUGAAUAAAGAAUAUACCUAAACCAUUAUUAAUUAAUGAAUAAAGUAAGUAACUGUUGCACUUAAUAUCUAUAAUUUCUAAAUGAUGUAACAUAUCUACGUCUAAACCAAUGAAAUGAUCUCUUUGUAUGUGGCCACCAGAAAGCAAGUGGAGAUUGAAGAACAAUUCCUAUCAAUGAUUCUUUGGAUUAUUAUCUCAAUCACAGAAAAUUUUAUUAACUUAAUUAUUUCGCUUAAGCACUACUAACCACUACAAACUACAAAUUUAUACAACUUUCUCUAAGCAUAAAUCGCCAGCUAUGACGUCAAAGAUUGUUGUUUCGUCUUUUCACUGGAAUUAAAGUUUCCAAAAUGGACAAUAACAACGUGAUUCACGUCGUUUUACUUCCUCAUACUGAUAAGGAAUUAUUAAAUAAUUAAAUUGCUAUCGAAUAUUGCUCCCUGUAGCUGUUUUAUGUUGCUCUGUUAUCUCAUAUUCUCAUGCAGUGUAGUUCAUCAUUCUCACACCACACAUAACAGUUCGUUGCCUACCUUAAGACAGUGAUUCAAGUAAUUAAUUAGAACCAUUCAGGAAAAGAAAUAUAUGUCUCUCUCUCUAUGUUGAUGCAGUUAUAGUGCUUUGAGCAUCAUUGAUUAUACUCUUAUCUUUUGGUAUGUUUUUUUUAUCUAAACCUACAACAUAGAAACAAUAAAAUUAAAGGAUCAUUUCAGGGAUGGUCCAACCUUUAUACAAAAAAGAAAAGGUUUAAAACAUACAUUUUCCAAUUACACCACCCUAUCACUACAAAUAGAAAAAUCAAGGAUCAUCCCUUAGAAACUUUAGAUCAAAUUCAUACAUAUCAAGGCUCUAGACACCAAUCAAAGAACGAGAAGCUCGCUGACCGUAUCUUUGAUGAGAUCCAAGACCUGAUCUUAACCUGUGCCAGUGAAAAAACCUCUAUGUGAUCAACCACUCUACCUUUAAAUAAACAGUUAUUCCUGUGUCUCAAAUUCUCGCUAACCAAUGCUAUCCAGAUAUUACCCACAAUAAAAUUGACUGAGCAAAACGCAUCCAAAAUUUUAAACUGUUCGUAGUGUUGUCCCAGUUCAUAAGGUUGACUGAGUUCACUUCUAACCAGUCAUAGCAAAGAUUCCUAAACCCUAAACCUACAACAUAUAUCUUAUUUAUUUUAUUUAUAAUAAUAAAUACAGUUAAGAUAAAUAUAGAAAAACAUUACACAUAUCUAAUACAUUAAUUACAUUGUAUAUAAUAUAGAUAUUAACCAAACCUUUAAAUAUUGUAUUGGGUCGAAUAAGAGAAUUUAAUGCCACUGCUUUGCUUUGACAAGAUAUACAGUAUGAUACUAUUAGCUGACAUGAUAUUGAAAUUAUUAGUGAUUUGAUAUAUGAGAUUAAAACAAGUUGAGCUAAAGAUUAUAAUAUACAGCUAGGUAGGAGUUGUAAAGGUUGACUAUGAGAAUUUUGACUCUGGGAAUUAUCACGUGCUUCUCAUGGUACGUGCCCAUGAGUCAGAAUCUACUUAUUCAACAUAAUGAACAAGUUGAAGAUUUUCUAUCUUUGGUUUACUAUUUAGCCAUAGCUUGACCUAAUUAUUUAGGAAAAUGGCGAUGGCAUAUAAUUAAGGUCAACCAUAAGAAGACGUGCUUUUCUUUGUUUCAUGCAAGCGGUGUUACUGAUUAAAUAGUCUCUGAUAGUAUCUAAAGAGCUCUAAGCCACUUCAUAAACACAAGUAGUUUAUGAUUUUCAACACCUUGCAUUGCAUAGCUUAGCAUGUGCUUGCAGAAUGUCACACACCAAUAAUGUAAAAGACUAUUUCAUUUUGUAAGUGAUACGUGUGUUGGUGGUGAAGCCUGCAUGAUGAAUUUAAUGAUGGUGUAAUUAAUUAAGAGAGAAAAAAGAUGGUUGGAGUGAGUGAGUUGAUUAAAAAGCAGAGUGUUGUUUUUUAAAACUGAGGAAGGAUCUUGUUCAUGAUGGGAAAAAUCAUGUAAGGCGUUUUGACAUGACUAGUUGAUUAUAUAUAAUGGAAGAUGCUUAACAAAUCAAAACCCUGGGUAUCAUCAUUAUCAGUCAUAUUCGUUCAAAGUUUUAAAUGUGUACCCCAAUCAUAAACCACGCACGAAGGAUUUAAAGCAUCGUAAGUGAACUUUUUUAUGAAUUUGGAGUUGUAUUGUAAUGAAUGAGGUUCUCGGUUAUAAUCAUAAGGCAACCAAUUAUUUCCACUAUAGGAAUCACCAUCGAUGCCAUGAAACAGUAACCUGCUUUAUGUAUGCUUUCGUACAAAAGUUGGGUGAUACCAAUCCUUUUCGUUACUUCAAAAAAAUCUCAAUGUGCAUGCUUACUUAAGAAUCAUCAACUUCACCAAGGACCAAUUUCAUGUCAUAGAUUUUGUUUGAAGAAGCAGUAGAUCAUUUCUGCAAGUGCAACUAUUGGUCAAAAAAGUAUAAAACAAGCAUAUAUUGUUAAUAACUAAGCAUUUCCAUGAUGAAUUUGGUUGUUUAUUUUAUUUCCAUGCAUACAUAUUGGAACAGUGACAUAUGGCAUAGUAAUGAGUUCAUAAUUCAGUUAUUUGGAGGUCAUAUUCAUGGGAAUAAAUAUGAACAGCAUAACCUCUUUUUUUUAGUAUCAACACUCUUAAAAAACAUAUAUAAUCACUUCACACUCAACAAGUCUCCAUUGGUAUAACUUCUGGAGUUAAUUAAAUUGUUAGGGAAAGCAAUGCAUACUAUAAUAACACACUAGAAUUUGGAAUAAAUGUAAAUUUCCCUGUAUUUAGGGUGAUAUUGGGUUUUUUUUCAAAAUUUAAUUUAGAUAAAAUUCAUAAAAUAGAUAAGAUAUAAAAUUCAAUUUAAAUUAGAAUAUGAUUGCUGAUUUUUUUUCAUAUUCACAAAACAUUAAAAAGUUUGUGUUAAUUAAAUGAAUUAUGUUUGUAGAAUAACAUUAAUAUACAUAAUGAUGGGAGAAAUUAUUAAGACACGGUUAUUUAUUAUAAUUCAAAAUAAAUAAUUUUGUUUGUACUUGAAAUUAAUAAAUAAAUAAAUAAAAUUAUCAAUUAUAUUUUGAAUUAGGAAAGACCAUUACUUAAAAUAUAUUAUGAGAAUUCUAACACUAAGUAUACUUUUUAAUUAAUUUAAUCCUCUUUUAAUUAUGCUUACGGAGAAGUGGACAGCGAAGGGUGUUAAAAACACAAAAAUUGAAUAAAUUUAAUUAUAAAAAUAUAAAACAUUUAUUUUUUGAAUAAUAUUUUUUCACAAAAUACGAAUAAAGUCAUCACACAUUAAAAGUACUAUUUAAUUAUUAUAAUUUCUAAUAAUUUUUACUUUUCUUUUUACUGUAAUAAUAAUAAUAUUUUGAAAAUAAUAUUAAAAAAUGAUUAAAAAUAAUAUUAAAGUAUUAAAUAAAAAUGAUUAAUAAUGAUAAAAAAAAUAUAUCUUAUUUUGUAUUCAUUUUCACCCUCUUUUAAUUUAAAUAAAUUCCUUGUUUUCAUUCCCUCAAGUGGUAUAUAAGUUUAUUAGGAGUUUGGGCUGUGCAGCAACCAUUCAACAUCCUAUUAUCUAAGCCAGUAUCUUAUUUUCACAAAUUCUACUAAUUUCUCCAAGAUGCAUUCUAUCUCCCUAUUAUUUUGUCCCUGUUAACUUUAUAAUAUUAAUGUCUCCCUUUUAAUUCUACUUUGAAUAUUAGAAUAUCAUUAAAAGUUUGCAUAUCUCUGAGCCUACAUAUAAUUAACUUCAGCAAAUUAUGCUUGACUUAAAACCUUUCUCUUACUCUCAUUCUUAAUUAUUUUCUCUAUAAGAAAAUCAAUAAAUAAAAAUUAUUUUUUUAAAAAAAAUUAAUUAUUACAGUGACUAAAUUAUAGACCAUUUUAAAAACUAAAUAAAUUUUUGAUUUUUAAAUUAGUUUCUAUUAUUGUUAAAUGAUUUCUAAAUUUGUAUCUAAUUAGUAAUCACAGCUUUUGUUAUCAAAUUUAGAAUCUAAAUAAUUGGUAGUUAAAAUCUUGAAUGUUAAUUAGAUACUAAUUUAGAAACUAUUUAACAAUAAUAAAAACUAAUUUAAAAACUAUAAUUUUAGUUUCUAAAAUGUCUUUAGUUACUAUUACAAUUAUUAUUUAUUUUUUAUAAAAAAUUAAUUUUUAUUUGAUGAUUUUUUUUUAUUGUUUUUUCUCACAUUUGAUAUUUGAUGUUAUGCAAUAUUCCAUGCAUCUUUAUAUUUGAAGAAUGAAGAAGGUGUGAAAUGGUGUCAGAUGGACAAGAAUAACAAAACCAUAAUUUUAUCUUACUUUUAGUUGGAAUGAAUUCAAAAGAAAGCAUCAAUACUCGUUUUGUAGUUUCUACAAAUCAUAGAAAGGAUGGUUAUAUGUUAACACCAUAAACAAUAAAAAAAAUAAUUCACAAAUCAAUAAAAUAAUAUUUUAAUUAUAUUUAAUUUAUUUUUUAAUUUAAAAUAUUAUUAUAUUUUUAUAAUACGUUCUCAAGUAUAUCUUUUCACUGUGUGGUGUAAAAAAAUCUUCUCCAUCAUAGAACUGUCACUUCUAUUUGUAAACAAUGUCAUCUAUGUUGGGCUUAAAGUUAGAUUUUAACUUUCUAUUAUGUUUCCUAAUAUAAAAUAUGAUUAUUUAAUCCAUUUUUUAAUAUAACAUAAUGUUGAAUGUGAAAAACAACCUGUGCACUACAUAUUCUAAGUAUUCUCUAACCGCAAAUUGCAUAAGAAUAAAGCAAAUAAAAAUUAAAUAAAUUUACAAUUAACCCAAGUUGAUAAUGCUCAUGGAAGGGUAAUUGGUGAAAAACAUCGAGAAAAAAGAAGAUUAAUUUCUAAUAUACACAUCUUUUGGUUUAAUCAUAAUGAAUCAGUGUUAUCUUUUCGGAGCUACUUAAACAAAAAGAUUAAUUUCCUAAAUUAUACUAAAGUUUAAAGAGAAAUAGGUGAAGUGUACAAAAGUUGAAGUAUGAGUGACCUUUCUUCUAUUUUAAUAGAGGCUGUUUCUUCCUACACCUCCACAGUUUCUCCUAGCACCCAUAGGUUUACACGAAAACACUAUUUUGUUUUCUAAAAUAUAUAUUCUGAAUUCUAUAAUUUAAAAAUAUUUAUUUUUCUAUUUACACAUCUUAAAUUAUAGAAUUUGAAAGGCCAAAAAUACUUUAUAGAUUUAUAAUAUGAAAAUACCUUCUGAUUCUAUAAUCAGAAUAUAUCUUUUUAAGAAACGGAUUAUGGAAUCUAAAAUGUAUUCUCAAUUCAAAAAUAAUUUCUAGAUUCUAUAAUCUAGAACUUUUAUGGAUCAUUCAUUUUAAAAUAAAAACAUCAAUAAAAUAAAAUACUUUUGAUAUUUUAAGACGUAUAGGUGCAAUAAAAAAAACUAUGGAGGUGCAAAAAGAAACAACCUUUACCACAUGAUGAAUCUAAUGCAUCGGUUUUUCUUUUACUCAAUAGGAGGCUAGCCCAAUUUAGAUGUUCCUCUUUAUUUGUGAGCUUUUUCUUCAACCACUGUGAUAAAAUUAUUGGAUACCUAAAUUUUAUUAUGGAAUAAAAUUUACAUUAGUUACUCAAAUCGGCGCAAUCUUUUUGCAUUAGUUACACACACAGUACAAUUGUUUCUAAACUAAAACUCAGUCAAAUAAUCUAACUUAUUACAUUGUUCUUAUUCUUUUAUAUGAAUCCUUAUAUUAUGAACUUAAAUCUUUAUUUUUUUAGGGCAAAUAUAUGUUUUUAUUAUUUUAAAAAUAUCAUAUCUUUUUUUUAUUCUAUAUUAAUUAUGUUAAUGUUUACAAAUUUUACUUAUAUAUUUAGCAUUUCUUUACAAAUUUUCUUUCAGGUUCACUUUUCAUCUUUAAUUGAAGUUAGUUUUAUUUUUCUAUUUAUCAGUUGACUUAAACAUGUAUAUUUAUCUUUGGUUUCUUCUUCUUUAACAUAAAUAAAAAUAGUACCCUUAUGAAGAAAAAUGCAACGAUAGCGAACAUUUUUAUAUUGCGUGUGUUUAAUUGAUUUCAUUUAAAAUUGUGCUAUACACCCAAUUUUAUAAAAACAAAGUAUAUAUAAAAUUGAAGUAUUUCUGUCAUUUGAGGUACAGAAGUAGUUAAGAAUUACACGAUGAAAUAAUUUCCGUUUUGAAAGUUUCAACAAUAAUAGCAUACAAAAGAAAGUGCCUAAAAUAUGUGAUAAUUAAUAAUGAAAAUGUCUUUAGGAUAUGGAUUUGAAUAUCUUUGUAUUCCAUGUAACAUACAUAUAAAGAAAACAAAGGAAACCUUCUCAUUCAUUUGCUGAUAUUUUGUAAUCAAAGCGUUUUUAUUCUUCCUGCUACUAAUUCUAUGCAUUGCAUCAUUAACAAUUCUUCUUCACACUGUGAUUAUUUUUUCGACAUAUAUCUAAAGCAUAUAUAAAACCAUAUCAGUGUACGUAUAUAAAGAAAUGAACAUGUACAUAUGAAAGAAUCGAAAGAAUACAUGGGUUAGAAAAACAAGAAAGAUCACAACUAAUCAAGUUCUUGAAACAAAGAGUAGUUAUAAUCAUCAUCAUCAUCAUGAUGUGAAAAGGAUCAGACGAAGGAAUCAACUUUGGGUGCUUUGUCGCCAAACAAUAACUUCAAGUCAUUCUGCAGAGGGGUCAAGUUCAAAUCCAAGCAAAUAACCUUCCUACUAUUCGACCUUUUCAGAAUCGGGACUUUUACCACAACCUGGUUUAUUGAAGAAAACCCUUCGUUUAGGGAAAUUCUGUGCCUUUUCAUAUGCCCUCCCAGUGCCUGACCCAGAGAGAAUUCUUCACCACAAAUGGAGCACUCGUGCCUUUUGGGCUUAUUUUCCAAUCUCACAAUUUUGUCCUCUUCUUUUAGGUCUUGUUUGGGAGUUUUGUGGCUGGCCCUGUGGCCACCAAGGGCUUGAAACGAAGAGAACUUGCGGUUGCAGGUUCUGCACUCAUAUUCCACAGGGCCUAAAAGAUUUUGGGGUUUGACUUCUCUGGGAUGAGAGAGUAGUAUUAGACAAUUUGCCAAAUCCACGUUCUCUUCUCUGCGUCUCUUCAUGGCCACUACUCACGUAGAAAUAGUAUGAAAUAAUGAAACGUAAAUAAGAGAGUGAAAUAUGAGAAAGAAGGUGUUGAAAUUGAGAUGUGAAUGAUGGUAAGUUAGGGCAUAAGAUUGGUAUUUAUAGGCCGUUUGCGACAAAGUCAAGGUCUUUGACUGGUUUAAACAAAUAAAGCAUUUGUUGGAGGCUAAUUUUGUUUAAUGAUAAUCAUUAACGAAUCCUUCAAACCUGUUGAAACUUAGAAAGUAAAAGUGUUAACGGUUGUUGGUCUAUCUGACUUUGUAUUUCCUAAACACCCAAAUCCCUUACUUGGAUUAUAAGUUUCAACAUUAAACCACUUCGUUAAGAAUAUGUUAUUGAAUUAAGAAAAAAGUGUAAUGGUCAACUACGCAUUUUACACACACUAGUUUAGGAAAUGUAUAUGUUUUCUGGGCGUGCUGCGCAGUGACAAAGUCGUGUGCGGUGAGCUACUCAACCGAAGAAGGAAUGUUUUGGUCUUCUCAUUAAUCCUUGCUUGGUGUUGGGUUCGCUCAAAUCUUGAUCUUGGUGUUUCAACCAUGUCAUUUUUGGAAUAUUUGCUUAUUCGCCAUAAUUAUGUUAAUAAUCUCGUAUUAAGAAAUGUCCAUUUACUUUUUAAUAUUUUGUUUCUAUCAUGUUAUUUUAAAAAUAUAUGUCUAUAGGUACCGAUAGAGAAUAAAAUUGAUAAAAUAAUAUUUUGCUGUAUUGUGCGUGCAUACUAUGAAAAUAAUGGUUUGCAACAAAAUAAACAAUACAAAAAGGUUAAUCAUCUUUAUUUUCUAAUGAAGAUAUAUGUACAAACUAAUUGAAAGAAAUAAGAGGAGACAAACGGUUGUAGAAACUGAUUGAAGGUAAUUACACAAGAUUGCAAGACUGUUAAACUGAUCUUAUUCAUUUUGAUUUACUUCAAUAUAUAUAUAUAUAUAUAUAUAAUAAUAAUAAUAAUAAAAUUACAAUUAUUGGAAGCUAUAAAAUAGAAAUACUAGCAGGCUUGUAAACUGAUCAUUAAUGCAAUAAUAACAUAACGGUAAAAUAGUUUAAUGGUAAUAAAAUCAGAAUUAAUAAUAAUAAAAUUUGAAUUAAUAACCAAAUUCCUCCUUAAUUCUGAUUUGGAACAAUCUUAUUGUCCCAACAAAUCUUUUAACUUGAUGAAAACAUUGAUCUUCAAUGGCUUAGUGAAAAUAUCUGCAACUUGAUAUUUUGAUCUGCAGUAUUCCAAUUUAAUCACGUUCUUCCCAACUUGAUCUCGUAGGAAGUGAUAUCGAAAAUCAAUGUGUUUACUUCGUUGAUGAAAAAACAGAUUCUUUGCAAGAUUAAUUGCAGAGACAUUGUCAACAUAACUUUUAAUUGGAACAUCUAGAUUAAAACCAUUUUGAGUCAUGAUAUUGUUUUUCUCAAUUCCCAUCAAUUCUUCAUUCAUAGCCUUUUUCCUUUUGGGGUGUUGAAUGACAUAUGCAAGUCUCACGAGUUCUGAUUCUGCAAGAAAAGCAAAGUAAACCGAAUCUCCAUUGUCAUCAACUUCAUCAUCAAGAUUUACUUCGCAAUUUGAAGGUGUACAAGUUGUCGUUGUUGCCUUCUUGGUCGCUCCACCAUAGUUGCAAUUGGAAUUGCAACUUCAGGUUGAAUUACAACUUCAGGUUGAACUGCAGUGCUUCAGGUUGAAUUGCAGGUGCUUCAAGAGUGACUCCAUCUUCCACAUCAUCGUUCAAAACAUAAAUAUAUCGUUUUUUUGAAUCCAUUUCAACUGCUGCAUUCCAUUGCCAUUCCUCAUCUUUGGCAAAUGUAACAUCACGACUAACAAUCACCUUCUUUGUCAUUGGAUUGUACAGUUUGUAUCCCCAUGCUUAUAUCCAAUGAAAAUGGUUUCACUGUCUUAUCAUCCAACUUCAAUCUUGCUGCCUUGAGAACAUGAGCAUAAGUAAUUGACCCAAAUACCUUCAAGUCCUGCACAUUGGGUUUGAAUCCGCUCCAUGCCUCAAUCGGAGUUGUGUUAAUUAGGAACACUCCAAGUGGGUGAUUUGUUUAUCAAAUAUACCGCACAUGUUACGGCCUCAACCCAAAAAUAAUUUGGCAUACAUUUCGCUUUAAGCAUGCUCCUCGCCAUGUCCAUGAUUGUUCUAUUCUUUCUCUCGGCAACUCCGUUGUGUUGAGGUGUGUAGGGACAUGUUAUGUUAUGUUGCAACCCAAGUUCUUCACAGUGCCUCUUGAACUCAUUAGACUUGUACUCACCUCCUCCAUCACUACGCACCAUCUUAAUUUGUCUGUCACUCUGUCUUUCAACAAAUGCUUUAAAUAUUUUAAAGCAGUGGAAUACCUCAUCCAUGCUUUUCAAUAGAUAAAUCCAGGUUUUCCUUGAAAAAUCAUCAAUAAAGGUUAAAAAAUACUUAUUACCUCCAGCUAAUGAUAUGUUCAUCGGGCCACAAACAUCUGUAUGAGCAAGCUCCAAAGGAAAUUUUGCACACCAAGGCUCCUUAACAAAUGGUAUCCUGUGAUUCUUUCCAAAAAUGCAAGCCUCACACAAUUGAUCAGGGUGAUGAAUAUUGGGUAAACCAUUCACUAAAUUUCGUUUGGAGAGAUUUUCCAAACUCUGAAAAUUUAAGUGCCCAAAGCGUAAAUGUCAUAGCCACGAUUCAUUAUUCACUAUUGCAUUCAAACACUUGAAAUCACCCAUAUGAAUAUUUAUUGGAAACAUGCAGUUUUUUUGAUAAAAAGGUUUUAAGAAUCAAAUUACCUUUUUUUAUCAAAAAUUGAGAAUUUAUUUUUCACUAUGUGCAUCACAUAACCCUUCUCGACCAGCCGUCCCAUACUCAACAUAUUACUUUUCAUAUCAAGUACAUAGAAAACAUCAUAGAUGUACUUGUGAUCACCAUUCUUCAAUGUGAUAAGAAUUCGCCCAUUUCCAAUCACCGGAACGAACCUGCAUCACCGAAAUUCACUUUUGUGCGAAAUGAGUCAUCCAAAUCUGCAAACAACUCCUUCUGACCACACAUAUGAUUUUUGUUCAACCUGUAUCCAAAUAUCAAGUCUGAUUGUUUGGAGUUUCAUUUGAUAUGGUUGCCAUUAGUACUACAUGAUCCUCUUCAUCUUGUACAUCAUUACUGUCUUCUUGAGCACAAUUGGCAGCAUGAUUAUCACCUUUUGAUUUGCAUUCCUUUGCAUAAUGGUCGCAUUUAUGGUAGUUAUAACACUCCACAUUUGAUUUAUUAUAAAUGUCUCCUCGUCCUCCGCGACCACGUUCUCCACGUCAAGAGUUAUUUGAACUUGGAAUGUAAUUGGAACCAAUGUUUUGCUUAGCGCCUCCAUGAUUUUGGCCACCACGACCUUUAUUGGAAUAGCUACCAACAUGUCCCCGUCCUCUACCUCGUGAACUACCGUGUUUAUGAUAGGAUCUACCAAUUGAGGCUUGUGCUUGUAAAGCCUGUUCAAUUGGUUUUUCAAUAUUAUUGUCAUUCAUCCGCUGCUCAUGCGCUCGUAGGGAACUAGACAAUAACCUUACUGUCAUUUUUGAAAUGUCAUUGGCCUCUUCAAUUGCAGCAACAACAUGUUCAAAUUUGGGAGUUAAAGAUCUCAAAAUCUUCUCUACCUUUGCCUGCUCCGAAUGUGUUUCACCAUUGGUCUUUACAUCUGCAGCAGUUCAUAUUGGCAUCUUAGGGUUUGAAGACGCCCCCUCUUGAUCUUGUCAUCACCUUUAUAAUUGGUUGACAAAAUGGUCCAAGCCUCACUUGCAGUUGUUUCUUCUUCUAUCUGUUCAAAUGUCUCGUCAUUCAUCCCUUGAUGAAUGAGAUACAAAUCCUUAUUGUCCUUAUUCUUCUUAUCACGACGUUACUCGUUGUGCCUCAGUUGCAUUAACAUCUAAUGCAGACACUCCUCUCUCAACGACAUCUCAUAACUCAUGAUAAUCAAACAAAACUCUCAUUUGCACACACCACCGAUUGUGAUUUUUUCCAUCAAGGAUAGGGACUGAUUAUUGGGUAGAGUUCAUGAUAACAAACUAGCCCUUGAUACCAGUUGCAGGAACUAAUUGAAGAAAAUAAGAGAGUGCAAAAGAUUAUAUAAACUGAUUGAAUGUAAUUACACAAGAUUGCAAAACUGUUGAGCUGAUCUUAUUUAUUUUGAUUUACUUCAAUAAUAUAUAUAUGUAUAAUAAAAUUACCAUUAAUACAAUAAUAACGAUAAAAUAAUUUAAAAGUAAUAAAAUAGAAUUAAUAAUAAUAAAAUCUAAAUUAAUAACCAACAAUAUACACCAUCCUUCCAUGUUUUUCUAUGAACAUUUAAAAUUUUUAACACAUUCUUCACAUGGAUGAUAAACCAUCUUAAAGUGUAAGAUUUGAACAAAUUCUUCACACCAUAAACCUAACAAACUUAAUGACUUUGAUAACAUUUUAAUAAAAAAUUAAGAUUUAAAUCUUAUUUAAUCUCAGAAAAUCAAUUCGGUAACCUAUAACAAUGUAACCAGGAAAACCAAUAGUUGAAAAAAAAUAAUUGAUAAUUACUUUUGUAAAUAAUACUUCUAUUUAUAUUUUUACUAUAUAUAAAGAGAUGAGUAUUUUGGAAUAUGAUGAAUACAAAUUUUAUAUUUUUUUAGUCAUUACUACGCCACAGGCCAAGUGGUCAAACUCCAGUUUUUCCUUUCAAAGAUUAAAUCGAAGAAAAAAUUUAAAUGAAAUUGACCAAACCCACGAACUACCGCUUUUCAUUACCAGAUUUUAAAUUCGGUCUAUUUUUUCUAAUCUAAAACACUAGUUAAAGAAUUAGAAAAACCAUUAGAAAUUAUUAGAGUUGCAUUAGAAAUCAUUAUACAAUACAUUGUUAGGUAUUUUCUUUGUUAUAAGUAAAUUAGUUAGCAUUUAUAUUUUUUUUAUAAUUAAUACUCACAUUUAAUAACUAUUAUAUAUAUAUUGAAAAAAUUUCUUUCUGAAAAAAGGAUAAUGGGAAAAAAUCUACAUUUUUUAUAGAGAUUUUUUAUUUUCAAUUUUAUUCUAAUGCGUACUUACGCAAAGUAAUUUUAUACUUUAAUUUUAAGUUGGGUUUAUGUUGUAUUUUAAAUUUGUAAUUUAUAAUCAAUUUCUUAUCAUAUGAUAUAACAAAAUAAGUAUUUAGUAUAGAUAAAAAGUUAACGCCAACAAGCAAAAUUCACACUAAUUAGUUAAUACAAAUUUGCGUCACAAAUGCAACAUAUACUCGACGAUAAUUCAAUAAUGUCAACUUUAAACACUAACUCUAAAUAACGUUAUUUAAAUUGACUCUAAGUAUAAAUAACAUUAUUUAAAUUGAUUCUAAGUAUAACUAGACAUUAUCAUUCCUAGUGACAUUUAUAAUUUUUAUUAGUGAAAAUUUAUAUAACUAAAACUAGCUUAUUUCUUUAUAGUUACAAUGAAUUUUGAUGGUUGUACACAACUUUGUUGAGACCUAAAUGAUAACAAACACUAUAAGUAAUUUAUACGUGCAAUAUAUAAAUUCUAAGAUCAUGCUAAUAUUUGUUUUAUACAUGUGCAAUUCUAAGAUAUUAAUAGGCUAGACAAUCCUCUAAGCUUUAAAAUGAUAAACGAUCUAUCACUCAUUAUUACAAUAUAUCUUAUCUUUCAGUAGUAUUUAGAUUAAUUUUUUUUAUUGAUAAUUUAAACAAGCCAUAAUUAAACUUAUGUUUUCUAGAAUAAAUCAAGUAAACGAAAUGAUCUUCAAACAAAUAGACCAUCCAUUAAAUAAAACAUCUUAAUGUAUUAUUGAAAAUGAUUUUAGAAACAAUUUAAACAUAUAGAUUAUGAUUCUUUUCUAUAUAUAUAAUAAUCUUUUCUAUAUAUAUAAUGUUAUGCGAAAUAAAAGAUCUUAAGUACAAAUCAAGAUCUUCUAUUAAGAGAGUCUAUAUCUUAAAAGAGUUUUUACAAAGAUAAAGUAUUUCUUGAUCAAGUUUUCAAUGAUCUUAUCUAAGGAGUUAUUUAAACGGGUCAAGGAUGGGGAUGAAGAUACAAGAUGUACCUAAAGAACAAGUUACACAAAGUCUUAUAGUCUUAUCAAAUUUUAAACAUCUAUCAUAUGGUUUGCGUAAACCUUUGUAAAAGUCUUCACUUUGUGAAGUUAUACUAUUGUGACUUUAAUUUAUGCUAUCCUUGAGAAUGUUUCCUUUUCUUUUUAGAGUUAUUAGUGUCGAUAGGAGAUUGAGAAGGAUAACCCAAAGAUGUUUGUAUAGGUAUAAUCAAAGUGUUUUGAUUAAUGGAAUCUCUUGAGCAAUUAACUUAAGAGGAUUGAACAUAAUUUUUGUUAGAGUGAACCAUUGUAAAUUCUUGUGUGUUGUUUCUUUAUGCUUUUUCUAGUUGUGUUGUUUUAUUAGAUAGUUGUAUUUUGAUUUGUUAGACGUUUGCUUUAUCUGUUGCAUAAAUAAUCUCAAACUCUAUUCAACCCCCAUUAUAGAGCUAGUUGUCCUACAAAAUUCACUUUCCAAUAGAUAUUAAAAUCUUAAUCAACCUAUUGGGAAAACUAUGAAGCUCUUAAUCUGCUAUCCCCCAUGAAGCUCAUUGCAAGGAGAAUCUCAAUGAAUUAUACCGUCCAUAACUUAAGUGGUGGAGGCACACAAAUUGUAAGAUUAACGUCGAUGCUAACUUGAUCACCAUAUUUUGUUAUGUUUAAAUUUGGGUCUUUAGAUUAAAACCAAUCUAUAUCUAUUUUAAGUAACCGAAGCACACAAAUUCACUAGUACAAAAUAAUGUUUUAACGACAGUUAAAAAGACCAUAUAAAGACGGUUCAGAAACCUUCGUUAUUUUGGGUGUCAUUGUAAAUCAGUUGUUUAUAACAACGGUUCCAGAAUCGUCGUUAUAAAACAACAUUAAGGAUAGAACUAUCAUUAUUUUGCCAUUAUAAAGGCUUUAUAAAGACGAUUCCAGGUUGAAACUGUCGUUAUAAGUGUUUUUUUUUUAAAUAUUAUAUAUAUACUUUAUCCUACAUAAAAUACUAAAUUUCCAUAACAAUAAUGCAAUAUGAAAGUCUACAUACAAUACAUUAGUACAUAUAACAUUCUACAAAAUGUUUAUGUCAUUCUAAUAAUUCAUCUAUCCUAAAGUGUUAUACAUAGUUACCUUAAGUUAUAUCCAAGUGAGUUUCUUUGCAUUUGCACUUCCCCUCCAACUCAACAUGUUAUAUCCAGAAUAAACACUAAAAUAAUAACAUUUCAUAUUAGAACACAUAACAUUAUGUAAUGUAAUAAAUUUGUGAAUAUAAUAUAAUCACAAUGGUUUGAUAAAUCUCUAAUAUAUACAAGGAAACGAUACAAAAUUUCAGAAUUUUCUAACAAGUUAAAUUAUGGGAACUAAAACCUUAAAAUGCCUGAAAAUAAUAGUGAAUGAUGGAUUUUUGGAAUUUUGGUCGAUCCCAACCUCCUUCGGGGAUUGACCAUCGCGCUCGUUACCUCGUUUCGAGCAACUUUCAUUUUUUACUCCAUUCGACUUCUCUGUCAAAAGUUAUGACUGUUUAAAGUGUUUUCGUGCUAAUUUUUGUCAACUCCAAAUCUACCACUCUUCUCUUCAAUAUUAGGACUCCUCCAUAAAAUAUAUAGUAAAUGAAGUUCCCACAAACCCAAAUCAUCACAUACAUGCAAAUAUUUAUUAAAAAAUUAAUUAAAAAAUUUAGGGUAGGGUUUAGGGAGCCACCGCAUCGUGCAUCAAUCCAGUCAUGACAGCGUGUGUGUGGUGGAGGUGUUGGUGACAUACAGAAGGUGUUGCUGGUGUGCGGAAGGUGUUUUUGCACGGAGGUAAAGGGUUUAGGCUGUUUAGAUGCGUGCCGCGGGGGUUUGACGCACGAAGCAACCAUCGUUAUUUCAAGGCCAAAUUGACAUAUUGCGACGAUUCUUAGGACAACCGUUGUUAAAAAAAUAAUUAUAAGUUUGUCACCGCCUCUUUUUAAAAAAAUGAUUUUAUAAAAAAAAUCGUCUUUGUUUGGGAUUACAUUUUUUAAAUUUUGUACUAGUGAUUAUAAAAUUUGUAUAGCUUGACUGACACAAAUUUUAAAUAAAUAUUAAAAAUAAAUUACAAUAAUCUCGAUUUAACUCUAAUUUAUAAAAAUGUAAAUAAUAAAGUUAUUAUUUGGUUUAUGUUAGUGACAUUUAAGUGUACAUUCAUUUUAAUAAAUAUUAUAGUUGAUUAAAUUAUAGUUAUUUAAGACAAUAUGAACUUAAAUAAAUAAUAAAAAUAAAUUAUAUUAGUAUUAACUAAAGCAUUCGGUCUUCUCUUUCAAUAAAAUGUUAAUAUAAACUUGAAUAAUAACUAAAUCAAUAUUAACUAGAUCGAUAAUAAAUUUAAUAUAACUGAUUUUAUUUAUUUUUUAAUUUCUAACUUUAAAUUAGAAUCGAAUUAGUCUAUUUUUAAUUGUUAAUUUUAUUUUUAAAGUUUCUUGACCUUAACCCAUAACUAAGUAUAGUAGUUACUAUCACAUUAUUUGACCGUUGGAAAACUAAGAAUCACUAUUACAAUAUCCUUUUCACACUAGUACAUAGUUUACACAGUGACACUAGUCGUCUAUUAUUCAGAUUACUCCUAUGCAGCUUGUAAACAAUAAUAUAAGCACAAAAAUUCCAUCAUUUUACAUAAAGAAUUGAAAAAAUGUUGAAUUGUUCCAUACUGGACGACCGAGUUUCAACCUUUAUUACUAACAGAUCAAGUUAAAAAACAUUUAUGCACUUAAUAAAUAUCAACAAUAACAUUUAUGAGAACAUUUAAUAAGUCAUAUUCACAGUCUAGAUUAUGCGAGAAAUACAUCUGAUAAAUAAACUAAGUACUAGUUAACUAAAAGAUGAUACAAAUAUUCUUCAGAUAUCCUAACAUACCAAUACUAUUCCCUACAAAUCAGGGAUCAGGAUACACUGAUAAUCAACACAUCACAACAAGGACCCACAAUCAACAAUAUAAAUAAACCAUCUACGAAGGUGUAAUGUACACUUUAAUCCAUUACAAAUAUACACGCUUUACAUAGAGUAUUUAAUUGAUUGUUGGAGUACCAACAUUUGAUGAAGGUGACUUGAAGGAAGGACGAGAAGAUCACUGACCCUUGAAGGAAGGAACGAGGAGAUCACUGACACGUCAACAAUUCUACAACCAGUUUUAAGUACUAUUUAAGCUCUCUUUGCCUAUACAAGUACAAAUGUGAUUAAUGGUGUCAAGGGAAAGAAAAAGAAAAGGAAUUAAUCACAAGGAAGAAGAAUUAACUUAAGGGAACACUUUUAACAAGUUCAAGUCAUUCUCAAUAACAAUGUGUUUGGAUUGAGGGGUGCACUGUUCACGCGGACUGUAACAGCCGGGAAAAUACAUCUAACUAUUACAAUACAGGUUCUACUUAUUUUUAUACAAGCAUAAAGUUUUACAAAACAUUGCUAAUACAUGAUUAGGACAUAUAGAAAUACAAAUAUUUACAAUAUAAGUUUCAUAAUCAACGCCCUAAAACUCUUCUGAUCCUCAGACACCUGUAAGAUCAUCUGCUCGUGUACGUAGUACAGUCAUCGCAGUUCAAACACAACAAGAAAAGCAAGGGUAAGCUAGUGAAAAUAGAAUUUUAUAAUAUACACAAUUAAAUCAAAAGAGAAAACCAAGUUACAUGAUCAAUUUCUCAAAUUAUUCAAUCUUCUUCAAAUCUCAACAAUAAAACAAUCACAUAGAUCUCACAUGGAUCUACACAUCCAGAAUAUUCAACAAACAACAUCUUCCGGAAGACCCGUAUUAAGUAAGUCCUACCAGAGACUAACACCUGAUCCAAAGAUUACCAGCGAAUCCAACAGAAAGGAUCAGGGUAAGUUCAAUACAACCCAAGUCGUGCAUCUCAUAUGUCACGGUGUGCAUNNNNNNNNNNNNNNNNNNNNNNNNNNNNNNNNNNNNNNNNNNNNNNNNNNNNNNNNNNNNNNNNNNNNNNNNNNNNNNNNNNNNNNNNNNNNNNNNNNNNAUAGGCAUCAAUACUUAAUACACAACAAACAUCAGUCCAUACAUUAUCCCAAAUGUAGGAAUUCAAUUCCAUACCAUCCCGUCAUACAAUAUCAUUCCAAACACGAUCCACAACAUUCAAAAACGUAAUUAAAAUAAAAAAACAACAGUUAAAUAUUAAACCAUCAAAAUAUAAUAUUUUUACAAAUUUAAAUAAUAUAUAAACAAACAACCCAAUAUAUAUAACACACAACAUCCCUGCAAGAAGAAUUGAAUAUUGGGACCACGUCCCUUCCGCAUUCAGAUCUUCUAUCCUAGGGUGUUAUUAAAAAUUAAAUUAAGCUUCCCUUACCUCAAUUGUUUGCUUUCCAAGCAACUUCUAGAAUUUUAUUCCCCACCGUUUGGAUAAGCUUCAAGAUUUACG